rnacentral:lncRNA from 1 species
AAGGAAUCCUAUGCAAUCCCAUUACACGCUAGCUGGCUUGUUUGGUAAUUUCCGGAACAUAGCAUCAAACCAGUCGAUGAAGCUAGUAAUUGAUUAGUGUAAAUAUGCAGCAUAGCAUCAAACCAUUGGAUUAUCACCAAGCAUGAUCAUAAGGAGGCAGUUGAUGUAUCAAGUUUCCAGAGAACAUAUAUAUAGAGGUAAAAUUACACAGGUGAAGAAGGAAAUGAUGAUGAUCAGUACUCCAAUUCGGUUCAGUGAACCAGAAGAAGAAACCUCCAGACACCAGAUGUGAUCAGAGAUGUUCUUCUUGAUUUUUAUAUAGUUUCGGAGCAGCAUCAUAGCUCAUAGCCUGGCGGAUGUGAGGCGAGGAGUGUCCCAAUCGGUAACGAUAUGGUCCCUAGUGAUUUCCUUGAGAGAACGGCAUCCGCUGAGCGCCAUUGUUAGCUCAAACUCCUCACGUAGCAUCUGAAGCACAUUCUUCACUCCAGCUUCUCCCUCAGCAGCCAACGAGAACACCACCGGUCGUCCAAUCUACAUUAGAAAAGUAGCGUGUUAAUGAAUAAUAUAAAACUCAAAGUUGAACAAGCAUUAUAUUCUGCGGUGUUAGAAACUACUCACGAAUAUGCCAGAGGCACCAAGUGCCAAUGCCUUGAAGACAUCUGUGCCACGCCUAACGCCACCAUCCAAGAACACCGGAAUCCGGCCUUGUGCACCUCUGUUCCCGUCGUCCAUCGCCGAUAUUGAGUUUCUAAGUUCCGCAGUUUUUUUCCAACUGAGAGAUUAACAAAGAGGGUUACUAAACCACCCCUGAUUUUCGAAUUAAACCCCUUACAUUCAUAAUGACCUAAACGUCCAUUUCGUAAAUGAAAAACUUACUAGUUCAAUUCAAAAACCCUUAUUUCGUAUGUUUUAGUAUGUUUUAGUUGGUCGAAAACACUCUCGACGAAUCACGGUUCAAAAUUGAAAAGGUAAAAAAUUGAAUUUUGGAUCUGAAAAAAAAAAAAUUCGUACGGACCAACCGGACGGAUCGAUUUUCCAUCCGGUGAGACUACCCAGACGGAACCUAUUUCCGUCCGGGUGGUCUGACCAGACGGAACGCCGUUUCGUCCGUUAAACAUAACAGACGGACUGACGUUCCGUCCGGUCAGUCUGGUUGGUCCGUCCAAAUUUUUUUUUUUUUAUAUCCAAAAUUCAAUUUCGUACCUUUCCAAUUUUGAGCCGUGGUUCGUCGAGAGUGUUUUCGACCAACUAAAAUAUACUGAAACAUACGAAAUAAGGGUUUUUUGGAUUGAACUAGUAAGUUUUUCAUGUUUUCGAAAUUUAUUAAUGAAUAAUUUAGUAAUUCACUAUUUUAGGGCGUCGUUUAAUUCGAAAAUUAGGGCUCGUUUAGGGAUUCAGUUAACAAAUUGAUACCGGGUUAAAAGCAUCGGAAUCACUCAAGUUUGGGUGUGUAACAUUUCAGUCAUUCAACUUUUCUUCGAACAUACUUAUGAUUCAAGUUUUAAGUAUAUAAAGAUUUGGUGAGUCCUUCCAUUUCCCUCCGAAAGUCCGUCAAUAAUCUGACGUGACUAACAGAUAUUCCGAUAGUUCGUCAAUCGGAAGCCGUGUAAUCAACUAUUGGUGUAGAUGGAUCGACCCUUUCACUUAUAACACGAUGUUUCGAAUUUGCUCAUAUUCAGAGGGGAUCUUUAGAUUUUCUGAAAGAGAAGGUAUCAUAGGGUAUCAAACUAUUGGUGUAACUGGAUAUACCAACAAUGCCAGUGGAGGAUGAGAUCACACACCGGCCAACGUAACAGUCUUCUGAGGUAUCCCGUUCUUCUGGUUCGUUGAAUGGUAAAUGCAUUGUUAAAGUUCAACAUAUUAAUCAAAGUGAAUCCCAAGCAAUCCCAUUACACACUAGCUGGCUUGUUUUGUAAUUUCCGGAACAUAGCAUCAAACCAGUUGAUGAAGCUAGGAAUUGAUUAGUAUAAACAUGCAGCAUAGUAUAUUAUCAAACCAUUGGAUUAUCACCAAAAGCAUGAUCAUAAGGAGGCAGUUGACAUAUCAAGUUUCCAGAGUGGGUAUAUAUAGAGGUAAAAUUACACAUGUGAAAAGGGAAAUGAUGAUGAUCAGUACUCCAAUUCGGUUCAGUGAACCAAAAGAAGAAACCUCCAGAGACCAGAUGUGAUCAGAGAUCUUCUUCUUCUUGAUUUUUAUAUAGUUUCGGAGCGGCAUCAUAGCUCAUAGCCUGGCGGAUGUGAGGCGAGGAGUGUCCCAAUCGGUAACGAUAUGGUCCCUUGUGAUUUCCUUGAGAGAACGGCAUCCGCUGAGCGCCAUUGUCAGCUCGAACUCCUCGCGUAGCAUCUGAAGCACAUUCUUCACUCCAGCUUCUCCUUCAGCAGCCAACGAGAAUACCACCGGUCGUCCAAUCUACGUAGUUAGAAAAAAUAGUGUGUUAAUGAAUAAUAUAAAACCAACGUUGAACAACUAAAUUGUGUGGUUUAGAAACGAAACGAAACUCACAAAUAUGCCAGAGGCACCAAGUGCCAAUGCCUUGAAGACAUCUGUGCCGCGCCUAACGCCACCAUCCAAGAACACCGGAAUCCGUCCUUGUGCACCUUUCACCACCUCCUCCAGGGCCCUGAUGGUGGAAGGCACAUAAUCGAGUUGGCGAGCACCAUGGUUUGACACUAUGAUCCCUGCUGCUCCAGCUUGCACUGCUAUUCUUGCUGUGUUUUUUUGCAGUAAAUAGGUCAUUAUCAAGCUCAGAAUUUGUUAUAUAUGUUCACUCGUAACAACAUGAACUUACCAUCUUCAGCUGUGAGGACACCCUUCACCAGAAUUGGCAUUGAGGUGAUUGUUUGAAGCCAUUGCACAUCCUGCAAAAGUCCAACUCAAAAAAACAUAUUAAUUCUGGGAAAAAAAUAUACUAAUGAUUAUGAAAUUACAAAGCAAGAUGAUUAAUUGACCUUCCAGCUGAGGGAGCGAUCAAUCUGGCCAGCAACGUAGGAUGCAAGCCCUGAGUCAUUGGCCUGCAACCAAUCAAUUUUGCACCAAAUGUCCAAACUUUUAAUCCUACAAUUGAAAACUUUUCACUUACCAAACCAAACCGUAAUAAUUACUUACCUCGUCCAUCUUGCCAAGGUUCAGGCCUUCAAAGUUCUUCAGUGUUAAGUUUGGUGGCAAUGUGAAUCUGCAAAACCAGAGAUAACCAACCUAAGUAUCGCAUUGAGCGAAUCAUCGUAGAGGAAUGCUAUAAAAUUUAUUUAUAAACCUCUCCCAACAGCUAUAGGUAUUGGGAGGCAACGGUUCUCUACGUGAUAUCAUAUCAUUUUCACUGUCCAAUUUGACACAGAGGUCUGCGGAUCAAAUCUUGACAGCCUCCAAUAUAACAAUUUCAUAUGCACACCAUAUUACGAUCCGAAUUGGUAUCAUGUAACAAAAUUUGUGGUCACAACGUGUGACGAAAAUUUCGAAAGUAACAAAUAUUCUAUUUUUAUUUUUCUCGGAAUGCCCGGAAUGUACCUGUUCUUGAUGUCAGCCUCUCUGCGGCCGAGCCUAGGGGUAUCAACAGUAAGAGCAAUGGCCUUGAAGCCAGCCUUCUCAGCUCUCCUCACCAGCUGAGCAACAACAUUCCUAUCUUUGUACACCUAUACCACAAUAUGCAACACAUAUAAAGUUAAGUGACCAAAUUGCAAUUGUCGCUGUAAUGGCCUUCUUCUUCAGUUAGAACUUUCUUACAUAAAGCUGGAAAAAACGGAUGCCAGGACCAGUGGAAGCAACCUCUUCCACACUUGAAGUAGCCCAUGAUGACAGUGUCUGUAAACAUAAACAAAUACAUAAACACCACAAAUUAAUCUAAUCAUAGUCACCAAAUUGGUACGAUAAUCUUUAGCAUGUGUGACACAUGAAAACUUUGCUAUAUGACCGGUUCAACGGGUGUAUUUUCAGAUUUUUUUCCCAUGUAAUCCAGAAUGUUUUUUGUAUUUUGGAAAAAAAUCUUACUUUUUACUCCACAAUUAUAAAGAUUUGUUUUUAGAUCAAACUACGAUUUUAUAAUUCUAUUUUUACGAUUAAAUCUUAAAUUGUUGGAUGCAGUUAUAGUGGUAGAAGCUUGGAAAGACAAACCAUGAUGGUUCCAGCAGCUGAUGCAGCUCUAGCAGUUGCAUAUUCCCCUGAACAUAAUAAUAUAUGUUAAAAUGAAUAAUAUAUAAAAUUAAUUUUGAAUUCUUUUUAAACAACUCGAGUUCUCCAAUUUAUGACAGAAUUAUAUAUGAUGACGCAGAGAGCAGAGUACCAUCAGGGUGAGCCAUUUUCUGAAAAGCAGUAGGAGCAAUCAUGAUAGGCAUGGAUAUCUUGAAUCCUAGCACAGUUGUUGUCAUGUCAAUCUUCGUCACAUCUAUCAGAAUCCUCGGUCGAAACCUGCACGUACCCAAAAACACUCAUGAAAACUGGCUCAAUUUCCAUCCAUGUAAACAAAAAGUAGUUCUAAAGAAACUAAACUCACAGGAUUCUGGCGAAGGCGUUCCUGUUCUCAGCAAGACUCCACUCAUCUUCAGCACCUGACGCAUAGUAAUCGUACGCCAUUUUCGGAAGCUUCUGCUUCGCGAUCGCCUGGUACUCGGUCACAUUUGUUACCACUGCCAUCUUUCUUUCUCUGCAAACUUGUGCUUUGUGACGACUUGAUUCCUUGCUAGCUAUGUACACCAGAUUGCUGGACAGCAGAAGAUGUUAGCCAGAAAGAUAAGGUGUGAAAUGAGCCCACUGGGAUGACCAUAUAUGUGAAGAUUUGGCUUACAGACAAAUUUUUCUUUUGUGUGGGCCUGAAAUUUGCAGAAAAAACCAGAAAAAUUAUGUGAGGGAGGGGGGAUUUUGAUCCUGUAGUGUGAGUGAGUAAUUGGGAUAAAAUCCUAUCAACUGAUCAGCCUUUGGUUGUCUAUCCUCCACAUAAAAAUUUGUGUUUCCACAGCCUUUUUCUGCUUCAUUAUCUUCUUCUUCUUCCUUCUGCUUCCAUAAUAGUUUCAGUGAGAAUUGACGGAAAGGCAUAAAGGAUUGCGAUUGGUUUGUUUGUUGGGCUUUCUCCAAACUGGAAAUUCAGAUGAUCUGUUAUCCAAGAGUACAUAUUAUUAUUAGGAGCUUGGCAAAUAUAUAUAUAUGGAGUGGUGCAAGUUCAGUUGAAAGCGGCGAAACCAGAAUGGAAAUAUGUAUUGAGUUGGAUUUAGAGUAUAGAAUUUUUGAUUGGAUAUUAAAGUUUGUGAUCGGUUAAUGAACCCGUUUUAACUUUUAAGAACUUGCCUUGUUAAUAUUGUGUCCAAGAACAUAGGUAAAAAAAUCAUUGUACCAAAUACUGAUCCGAGUUAAUGAAUUUAACCUAGUUUAUAAAAUGCAUUGGACCGACUUUGAGAAAACUACAAAUAUGUAUACGAUUUUGAUGUUUGAAAUCGAGAUAGUGGUGAGCUGAGACUCACAUAUCCCCUCGAUUCCGCCUCUAAUUUGAAACGUAACUUCAUGCUUCUUGAGUCAUUAAUUAUGAAUAUAGUGUAUAAUGUAGAUUUUCUUAUAAAUAUGGUAUCCGAUCUAUUGGCCGAUUAAUUCAGUUGAGGAUGAACCGAUUAAUCCAAUCGAGAAUGAUUUUAGAAUUAAGAUUUUACUCUUUUUUCAAUAUUAUUGUGGAAAUCGAACUUUAAUUCAUCCUUCCAAAUAAAUCUUUUGACAUCACUAGACGGCUCGUUGAUAAAGACAGUUAAGACUUAAAAAGAGGUACUAUAAUUAAAAAUGAGAGACGGGCUCAUGAGCUCUUUGACGGGGGAGAUGGGCUAUAGGCCCAACGGAUGAAGAGGUUGGCUUCAGAGCUUCUAAGUGGUAUGGGCCUCGAGCUAGCAUUAGUCAACCGCUUCACAAAAGGCCACGGCUAUUUGGAGUAUCCAUAGUCCAUACCCUCUGGGUACUGGAUCGGGGUUGGACAAUACUACCAGCGACCGUUUUCAACCCAUGCUCUUAGGAAAAUCAAGACAAAAACACCGCAUGGACUGAAUCCAUAUCCCAGGGGCAUUAGUGAAAAUUCGAACUUUUUGGGGGAAAAUUACGUUAGGGCUGCUUCUGGCAAGCGUCCGAUCGAUAUUUGCCGGAACAAUUUGCAAUCGCGUAGCUCGAUUGAUCGACGGUUUUUCUUGGAGCAGAAAGGAAGAGAGAAGAAUAAGAGGGAUCGACAAAACGCGCGAUUGGUAUAUUAGCUAAGCCGAGGGCGGUGGCAGCAGCGGUGGAUAGGCGGAUAACGACCGGCGGCUGCGACACGAAGGUGGUGGAGGAAGGACUGCGGGCGAUGUUCGUUUGCUGCCUUGUAGUUGUCUGAAUGAGGAAGCAACAAGGGCGUUGUCGUCGGCAACAAAUCGGCGUCGUCAAUUCAUGAAUGGGCUGCCUCCAAUUGCAGAUGAGUUGGCAGCCGAGUUUGUUGAACCAGCAACGGAAGAAUAGGCCGCCAUUAGGGUUGAAGAAUCUAGGUAACUCUUGCUACCUCAACAGUGUGCUUCAGUGCCUCACUUACACGCCUCCUCUCGCUAAUUUCUGUCUCCGCUUACAGCACUCUUCCAUCUGUAAGAUCCCUCUCCACUCGAUUCUUCAAUUUAUGUCUUCAUUUUGAUGUUGUUUGACGUUCUUCUACUAUAUUAAUCAGAUUGCUCGGGGGGCAAUAUUCAGGUCUCCAGAUUUUAAGUUGUUUAAACGAAUUCCAGUAUUUGCUUCAUCGUUAUUCAAUUCCUUUUGCAGGCGAUUCAGUUUCCAAUGGGGAGCGUAAGCGGGAAUGUCCCUUUUGUAUUAUUGAGAGGAGGAUAGUCCGGUCCCUAAGCUUGGAGGCCACCGUUGAUACCCCUCUCAAGAUAAAUAACUUCCUGCGGAUUUUUGCUGAGCAUUUUAGACGCGGCCGACAAGAAGAUGCCCACGAGUUCUUGCGGUAUGUAAUUGAUGCAUGCCACAACACUUGUUUGCGUCUCAAGAAACUGCGACGAAAAGGCAUUGGCCCUGCCAGCAACAGUACUGUAGUCAGUGAUAUAUUCGGGGGUGCUCUGCAGAGCCAAGUGAAGUGUUUAUCUUGUAAUGCGGAGUCAAAUAAGGUUGAUGAGAUUAUGGACAUUAGUCUAGAGAUUUUGCAUAGUAGUUCACUUUUGGAGGCGAUGCACAAGUUUUUCCAGCAAGAGAUUUUGGAUGGAAAUAAUAAGUAUCAAUGCGAAAGGUAACUAGCUAACUAUGAAAUCAAUGUUUCCGAUUUGUUCCUGCUAUUAUUUAUAUGAAUCAGAGACUUAUGCUCUUUUAGUUGUAAGAAAUUAGUGGCAGCAAGGAAGCAAAUGUCAAUUGUUGAAGCACCAGAUGUCCUUGUCAUCCAACUUAAGGUGUGUAUAGUUGUCUAUUUUAGAGAUAGAUUCUUGCCUCAUUUGUAACAGUUUAAGAGGUCAUGCUUUUCUGUUCUUUUUGGAGUAGAGAGACUUAUAGUUGGAUGUGUGGAUGCCAGAGAUUUGAGGGCAUAUUUGGCGGGAAGGUUGACAAGACCGUAGCAUUUGGAGAAGUUUUGGUACUAUCCAGCUUCAUGUGCAAAUCAAGCCAGGUAAUUUUUGUUUCGCCACUGGAUUUUUACUUCCAUGUAAGAGCUGGAACUAACAGUAGACUGUUGGUAUUAUGUGGAACUGAAUUUGAAUGCCAUAUUUGGUGUGCAUGUUUUGUGCCUGAGUGCGCGACGAACAUAUACAUUUAGAUCAUUAGAUUGGAAGCUAGACAUCAGACAAUGUGUAUGGUACAGUGUUUGAUCCAUUACAUAGAGGAUAUACCAUGUCCACGAGAUGAUUACUAUUAUACUUUGAAGUGUAGGCUAGCAGACAGUAUGGAUGGUACAGUGUUUGACCCAGUUCAUAGAGGAUAUACUAUGUCCACGAGAUGAUUACUAUUUUACUUCGAAGUGUACUAAAAUGAGUAAAAAUUACAGACUGUAUUUAAGUUGGUGGGCAAACAGUUAAGGUUAUACUGAACGUAAGUGAUAUUUGGUGUACAACAAAUGUGGUGUUUAAAGUGUUGUCUACAUCUGUUACAUCUUGUGCAGAAAUCCAGAACUCUAAGUGAUUCUGGUAUGAUUGAUGUUUAUUUCUGUGGUUUUCUUUACAUAUAUACACAGUCUGCAUCAUUAGGAUACAGAUCCAGCUAGUAGUGAUCCCUACAAAUCAGGGAUUAAUCCUACCUACCACUUACUAUGAUUACACUGCCUAAAUCAGGCUAGUCUGAUUCUAUAGGAUAGCUAGAUUACACUAAGUGAUACGCCUAAUAAUAUCCUAGUUAUUUCUGUAAUUCAACACUCCCCCUCAAGCUUGGCUGUAGAUGUUAUGGAGGCCAAGCUUGCCUUGUAGAUCAUCGAACAUAUCUCUAGGUAGAGCCUUCGUGAGAAUAUCUGCAAUCUGCUGCUUAGAUGGAACGUACUCCAUCUCGAACUCCUUGUUGUUUACUUUCUCAUAAAUAAAAUGACGAUCCAGUUCAACAUGUUUAGUUCGAUCAUGAUGAACUGGAUUCUUCACAAUGCUUAGUGCAGCCUGACUGUCACACAGCACUCUAACAGGACCCUCAUCCUCCAUCUUGAGUUCCCUUAGAAUGCGCCUUAGCCAAACUCCUUCACAAAUCCCAUCUGCCAGUGCCCUAUACUCUGCUUCAGCACUGCUCCUUGAGACCACCGUUUGUUUCUUACUCCGCCAGGUCACUAAGUUCCCCCAUACGUAGGUGCAGUAAGCUGAGAUUGACCUUCUAUCUGUAAGGUCUCCAGCCCAACUCGCAUCCGUAUAAAUCGAAAUUCUGCGUCCAGUGUGUUUCUGGAUCAGCAACCCAACACCUGGUGUGCCUUUUAAAUACCUUAAAAUUCUCAUCACUGCCUCCAUAUGCUCUUCAUUUGGAUUGUGCAUAUGUUGGCUCACAAUGCUUACUGGAAACGAGAUAUCUGGACGUGUGUGAGCUAAGUAUAUUAGCUUUCCUACCAAUUUCUGGUAACUCCCCCUCUCCACUGGUGCUGCUUCUUGGCCAAGAGCAAACUUCAAGUUGUGCUCCAUUGGCGUGCUCGCAGGUUUGCACCCAAUCAUCCCAGUCUCCUUUAACAAAUCUAAGACGUAUUUCCGCUGGGAUAAACUUAGUCCCUUACUAGAUCGUGCCACUUCAAUACCUAGGAAAUACCUCAAAUUUCCUAGGUCUUUUAUCUCGAAUUCCAGUGCUAGCUUCUCCUUAAGCUGUCUGAUUUCUUUUUCAUCAUCCCCUGUGAUGAUAAUGUCAUCAACAUAUACAAUGAGGAUGGCUUUUCUUCCUUCCUCAUUUUGCUUUACAAACAUGGUAUGAUCAGUUUGACACUGAUAAUACCCGUAUCUCUUCAUGGACUGAGAGAACCUCUCAAACCACGCUCGCGGAGAUUGCUUCAGGCCAUACAGUGCCUUCUUCAGUCUGCACACCAUUCCCGGUUCAGUGGCAACACCUGCCGGGACAUUCAUAUACACCUCUUCGUUUAGAUCCCCGUUUAGGAACGCAUUCUUCACAUCUAAUUGGUAUAGGGGCCAAUCUAGAUUUACUGCAAUGCUUAGAAGGACUCUCACAGUUUUUAGCUUGGCUACAGGAGCAAAUGUCUCCUCGUAGUCCACUCCAUAGCACUGUGUGAAUCCUCUGGCUACAAGACGAGCCUUAUACCUCUCAAUCUUUCCUUCUGAGGUAUACUUCACUGUGAAUAUCCAUUUGCAAUCCACUGUGGAUUUUCCAGCUGGUAGCUGUACUGUAUCCCACGUCUGAUUCUUGAGCAAUGCUCUUAUCUCUUCCAACACUGCUGCCCUCCAGUGAGGUAUUUUCAUAGCUUCUUCGAUGGAGUGAGGGAUUUCUGUGUUGUCAAGAGUUCCCACAAACGCCUUGUACUUCUGGCUUAGAUUUCCAUAUGAAACCCAUCUUUCAAUAGGAUGAGUUGUGCACGAUCUAGUUCCUUUUCUGUGAGCAAUUGGAAGGUAGACUGUAUCAUCUACCUGUGUUUCCUCUAUGUCAGCAGUCUGAGUUUCAUCUGUUUCCUCCGUUUGACCACCGUUCUCAACCCCAUCACUAGAUUCAACCCCCUGAUCCAUUUGUGCUGAUUCACCUUCUUGGGAGGCUGAGAUCUCAUUGAAUUCCUGGUCAGGCUGAGCAUGUGUGUUUCCUGCAGUCUUCUUCCUACGCUGAUAGACCAGAAGCGGAGGGAUUUGACUGUUAUGUUCUGUGGAGGGAUUUUUGGCUACUUUAGGAGACUCUAGAAUGACAGGGGAUGAUUCCAAGGUGAUAAUGCUACCAAUGGAGGACUCAACAGUAGAAUUCUCCCCCUGAGGCUGACAGUGGGAGUAGAAAGGAUGGUGUUCAAAAAACGUGACAUUUUUCGAAUGAUAGACUUUGUGGUCACUUGGAGAGUAACACUUGUAACCACUGUGAUGAGGGGAAUAUCCCAGAAAAACACAUUUGACUGCUCUAGGAUCGAGUUUAGUACGUAGGGAGGAAUCUAAAUGGACAAAGGCUGUACAUCCAAAUACCCUAAGAGGAAGAUUGGUUGAUAGAGCAUGACUAUGGGGAAAGUUUUUGAGUAGAACACUACGAGGAGUUUUAAAUCGUAGGGUUCGAUUUGGAAGACGAUUGAUAAGAUAGGUUGCUGUGAGGACAGCAUCACCCCACAAGCUCUUUGGCGCCUUAGCAGCAAACAGCGAUGCUCUUGCCACUUCCAGCAAAUGACGGUUUUUGCGUUCAGCAAUACCGUUUUGCUGGGGAGUGUAAGGGCAAGAGCUGCUGUGAGCAAUGCCAUUGGCUGUCAGGAACGAGCUUAAGGAGUGAUUGAAAUAAUCUUUUGCAUUAUCAGUGUGAAGAACUCGAAUAGGUGUUUGAAACUGAGUUUUGACUUGAUUUUGGAAGUUUUGGAAAAUUUGUUGGGUUUCAGUCUUUGAUUUCAUUAGGUAUGUCCAUGUUAAGCGAGUAUGAUCAUCGAUGAAGGUGAUGAACCAUCGAAAACCAUUACUUGUUUUUACAGAACAUGGACCCCAAAUGUCACUGUGAAUAAUGGAAAAAGGAUGUGUUGGCUUAUAUGGCAGACUAUGAUAGACGAUCUUUGUUUGUUUUGCAAGUUGACAAACCUCACAAUAGAAUGAACUCGGAUUUUUAUUGAUAAAAAGUUUAGGAAACAGUUUUUUGAGAUAAGAGAAACUAGAGUGGCCUAACCGGUAAUGCCACAUCAUGACGGGGCAUUCUAACUGGCUUGACCUAGAACUUAAGUAUGCUGACUUGGAACCCUCUCCCCCUGGUCUUAGUCCGCUUAUUGUCUUUAGACAGUACAGUCCAUCACACAGCUCAAACCUGCCAAUCAUCCUCUGAGAUCCCACCUCCUGCAAUACACAUUGUGAUGGGUCACAGGUUAGUCGACAUUUAAGAUCCUGUGUAAUCUGACUAACAGAAAUCAGAUUGCAAUUUAGCUUUGGAACGUAUAGAACAGGGAACACAGCCUGAUUAGGGGUCAGGUAGGCUGUCCCAAUUCCUUCGACUGGAGCUAUGGUUCCAUCCGCGAUACGAACUCCUGCUUUCCCUACAUGAGCCUGGAUAUUGUGGAGUAGCUGUCUAGAACCAGUCAUGUGUUCAGUAGCUCCAGAAUCUAAUAUCCAGUGUUGUUUGAACUGAUUUAGGGCGAGUAAAGCAGUAGAAUUUAUACCUUGCCUAGCAAACAGGCUGUGGUGAGUUUCAGAGGGGCCUGCAGAUGCCUUCUUAGCCGUGAAUUGAGCCAUCAUCUGCUGGAGGAUCUCCAGUUGUUCUCUGGUCAUCUGACCAAUCUGUUGAGUUUGCUCAGCGGCAGCAGCCUGUGCAUGAGCCUCCCUCUCUGCCUUAGGUUUCCAGUCAGCAGGCUUCCCAUGUAGUUUCCAGCAGGUGUCCUUAGUGUGUCCUAUCUUGUUACAGUGAGUACACUGUGGACGCACCUUUCCAGACUUGGUGUAAGCAGUCCCUUGAUUUCCAGUGUAGUGAGUGGCCAGGGCAGAACCCUCCACUGGAAUGCUUUUAGACUCAGGGAUCAUGAGCUUCCUCCUGCUCUCUUCCCAUUUGAUUUCAGCGAACGCCUCCCUGACUGAUGGAAGAGGAAGACGGCCCAUGAUCCUUCCCUUGGCCUCAUCGAGGGCCUGAUUCAGUCCCAGGAGGAAACGGAUGGUCCGUUUGGUCUGGAGGAUUUGUCGAUACAAUUCUGCAUCUUCUGUACACUUCCAUAGGUGUACGUCGUACAGAUCCUGCUGCAGCCAGCAUUUGCUCAGUUCGUCAUAGUACUGAGUAACUGACUUUUCCCCUUGUUUGAGAUCAUGGAGUCGCAUCUCCACCUCAAAAGCUUCAGCCUUGUUUGCCUGAUUGGAGUAUGUAUGCCUAGCUCCAUCCCAGAUCUCAUGGGCAGUUUGGUGAAGAAGGAAUUUCUCACCAAUGGACGUGGUCAUUGAAUUCAGAAGCCACGACUGGACCAUAUUGUCCUCAAUAUCCCAGUUGAUAAAUUCUGGGUCAUCCUCUGCUGGCUGCGUGGUCUUUCCAGUUAGGUAGCCUCUUUUCCCCUUGCCUGAGAUAAACUUCAGUACUGACGAGGACCAUUGGAGAUAGUUAUCUCCGUUGAGGCGAUGGUUUGUGAUACAGCCCAGGACUGUGUCUGAUAGAUUCAUGUUGUUAAUUAACUGCCUGUGCUUUAGUAUGUGUCUGAACUAUUAUGUGUCUGAAUUAUGACUUCAUUUUUCUGAGUAGCAUAUUUGACCGUGCUUUACUAAUUUCAUACUUGCAAGCCCUCAGGACCCCCAGCCAGAGUAUAGCCUCUUUGGUACCAUAGUGCAUUCAGGAUACUCUCCUGAAUCUGGACACUACUACGCUUAUAUCAAGGUAUAUAUCUCACUAGUACAGACUAAUACUAUAUAGAAGCAAGGACAUCUAUCAUUGACUUAAGUCGUGGAAUCUGUGUACAGGAUGCAAUGGGACGUUGGUACUGCUGCAAUGACUCGUAUGUUACCUUGUCAACCUUACAGGAGGUCUUGUCAGAGAAAGUGUAUAUUCUUUUCUUUUCUCGAACUAAUCAAAAGCCAGUAUCUACGAAGCCUGCUGUAAAGCCUGCUGUUGCUUCAAAUGGAGCCCAGUCACUUGACCUGAACGGAAGCAAGGCCUCUAAAAUUACUAAGGCUACCCUCCCUCCGAAAUUAGGGUAUCCAAGGCCACUUGCUUCGGGGAAGGAUAUUGUGGCUAGCUCUGACGUUGAUAAAAUUACUUCUAGGAUACAAAUAAAGUUCAAUCUUUCUGGAAACUCUGUUUCUAAGAUGCUUCCUCCAAUUACCAAUGGGAGGGCUGUUGUGGCUAAAGCGAACUCAGAAGCUAAUGGUACCUCAGAAGGCAAGGUUCAGUCUGAGACGCUUGGCGAAACAUCAAUGUCAUCAGUAAUCAAGCAUGGGUCCAGUAGUAGCACAAAAGUUAAUGUUGCCAAUGUUGAGACUCACCAUGCUCAUACAGCUGCAGAUGAAAAUCAACACUCCGAAAAUGGCGUCGUUACUCCUGUGAGGCCAACUUUGUACAAGGGGAAUAAUGGCUCGCUAAGCAAUGGAAUAGCAAGGACGGCUCCUAUUUGCAAUGAAAUGUCAAAUGGUGCUUCCCACUCCCGACAGCUUGUUUCUCGGUCCAAGAGAAAAUUGAAGCAGAGUUCCUGUGUUUUGUUUGCUCUAGAUGAUCAAUCAAGAGCCAAGGUUGAUGAGCUGAAGGAACUGUAAGUACAUUCUAUCUUUAUAGUAUCCGCUUCACUAGUUAUGAAAUUAUGUGCUUAGAUUUACCUUCAUUGUUUACAUUCUUUUUUUGGCUCCCAUCUACUUAUAUUUUCCAGUAUAUUCUCAGGCGAUGGGUUUUUUAUUUUUGGUUAUUUAUGAAUGUUGUUAUUGAAGGAGCUAACAAUACAUUUCAUUAGUAUCCUCAAAGUCAAAGUGCACGAAACGAAUGUUGUUUUUGACAAGUGUCUGAUUUCACUCGGAAAAACUGUCGAGCCCGUCUAUAACACUAUGACCUGAGACACUCUUUGCAUUGCUCGUCGUGAGUUUAGUUCCCUUGUCAUCAAUAAAUUGUCUAAAUGGUGCACUAUUACCGCCUACCAAUCCCUUGGGAUAAGAUUCAGUUCUUUUGAGAUGUCACAAGUGUCCUUAUUGGUUGAUUGUUAGUACUACUUAUCUAAUUGUACUUUUGUGGGCGUAUUAGGCGUGAUUAGUACCUUUCCCUUUCUAGAUCACAUGUUUGUUUCAUAUUGCGGCUUUUUUUAUAUUGCAGUCUCGAGCAAGAAUCAUCUGCAUUCUUGCGGUCAUCUGGCUGGACUGGUGAAGUAUACAAUCGCAUGUCAAAGAAAAGAUUACGUGAACAAGAAGCAGGAAGCACCAAUAGCGCUGAUGAGUUGAAGUAAGUUUCUAUAUACUCAAUAGGUUCUUAACCGAGGAAGUACUUCUGUCUCGACAUUAUAUCUGAAAAUCUCGCACCCUUUUGUUCCUGGACAUAACAUAUCCACAAUGCUAAUUGAUUUACGCAGGGGCUUGUUGAUUGCGGAUGCUAAGCGAAUGUUCAAGUCAAAGGUGCCUGGAUCAUUAAUAGGAGAUCUAGUGAAGCAAAUUCAGUCAUUUAGUGAAGGGAAAUGAUGAUGCCUGUUAUUGCCCUUCAACUGGCUCGGUAUUUCUCGUUUUUAUCUGUUCGAAUCCAGAAUAUGACGGUCCAUUUUUGCCUAUCUGCAUACCUGAUGGUUACUGACUUACUGUGGUUACGUGUACUUUGCGCAGUCUUUUAAUGUCUUAAAAAGCGGAGCCAUUUCGUAUACUCAUCUGUUACGAACAAGUUGGAAUCAGCAGUAGAAUGGAUCUCGAGAUUAGCGAAACUGUCUAGCAGCUGGAAGAGUUUUGGCAACUUGGCCUCGAAAUUUUGCAGUGAGGGAGGAGUGAGUUGUUGGAUGAUGAGGCUGUAAAUUUUGUCCUUUCGGCAGAGGAGGUGAGGGAAUCUUUGUACAAUUGUUAGGAAAGAUAACUUGCUAUUGGACGUAUAAUGAUCGAUAUGUUUCGGUCAGUCGAUGGUGGAAAUUUUUCGACGGAAGUAAACGGAGAUGGAAUGUACAACAUAUUAUACACAGAGAACGAUUAAAUUGGAUACCUUUGUUUUCAGGUAUCAAUAACACUUUGAUAGUCCAAACUUCAGCGUUUGCAAAGAUCUAACUCGGCAUAAACGAAAUUUUGAAUUCGACCUAAAGAUGGACUGAACCGUAGCCUGAUAUUUCUAUCCACUUACAGCUUCUCCCCCACAUAUUACUCUACAGAUAAAGCCCAACGAAAGCACACUUUGUUUUCUAUAGCUGCAAAAAUAGGGGAGGAGGUUGUCCUGUUGAACUUCUGGCCUAGCCCUUGUGGAGCAAGGAUCACGAUUUUGCUAGCCGAGAAGGGCAUCCAAUACGACUACAAAGUCGAGGACAUGAUUACCAGCAAGAGACCUCUUCUGCUGGAGAUGAACCCGGUUCACAAGAUGGUGUCUAUUGUUUAGCAAUGACAAAGCACUAUUUUACAUAUGUCCUGAUCAGCUGGAUCGGUUCGACGCAAAUCAUAAAUUUGUUAAAAAACAAAGUUGAGUGAUCGAAAUGUUAUCUAUCCCAAACUUUAACCGAUAUGUUUAGAGACACCAUUUUGAGUGAUCCUGAAGUUCUCAUAUAAGUGAUGCUUGUUCUCAUAUACAUGAUUUUCGAGAACUUUCAGAGACGAAACAAGUAACCGGGUGUCAUGGAGAAUGACCUCAAAGUAUUCUUCUGGUACAAUCUCGGUAUGCUUGCUAGUUACUACAAUAACCAACUUCUUACUGUUACAUCCUGUAUAAUACUAUAAUCAAAAUGACUUGAUCUCUGGCGUCAAAUUUCCAUUGUUUCUGAACCAGAGUGUUACUUCUCCAUGGGGUUUAGCUUCAGCGCAGCACUGCAAAAACGUCACCAUGAACACAAAAACAUAUUCCAGACAUUGGCAUUUGGUAAAACUAUGCAAGAAACAGAAAUCCCAGAACGAAAAUUGAUCUCUUUUUCACCUGUUGAUGCAGUAGCGUUGGCCAGUAGGCUGCGGACCAUCGUUGAACACAUGUCCUAGAUGAGCAUCACAAACAGCACACACAACCUCCGUCCUAGGCAUGAAGAUGAUGGACAAAUCCAGCUUCGAUUUCACGUUGUCCCCUAUCGGCUCGUAAUAAGAUGGCCACCCGGUUCCACUGUCAAACUUCGUUGCUGAUCUGCACAUUAUCAAUCACAAUUUCUAAACACACCCGAUCGUCUCCCUAUCCGAAACUUGUCGAUACUUGCUCGAAAUGCGGUGUGUCCCUAUCCGAAAAUUGUAGAUACUUACUCGAAAAGUGGCGUGUCGCAACAUAUGCAGUGGUAAGUUCCUGGGGUUUUGGUUCUCCAGUAGUCCCUGUGAAACAUCAAAUCCAUUAUGCCCUAUCAAUUCGACCACAUCAUACACGAGACAAGAGGUGAAUGAAAUGAGCAAAAGAACAUACCCAGUGAAAGCUCUCUCGGUUCCCUUCUGCCGAGUUACAUAGUACUGUUCUGGUGUGAGUUUCUUCUUCAAUUCUUCAUCACUCAAGGUCAAGGGCAUGCCUUUCUUCGUAUCUAAAAUUCUGAACAAUAGUAACUCUUAAUCAAACCAUUAAAGCAGAAGUUUAGCAAUGAGUUUUAUGUCAAUCUGUAAGUCGAUGAUCAAGACCAAAUCCAAGUGAGGUGUUUAGUCACUUAUCCUCGAUUAUACUCUGAAUUGAAGCCAACGAUCAAUUGUACAAUCAUUACAUUUCCUGAUUCCGAUCAGAAGAUCAGAAAGUAUCGAAACUAAUCACAUAAUUACAGGAAAAUAAAAACGUGAAUCGUAGCAAAUCAAUCGUUCGCAAAUUGAAACGUGAUUGAGGAAAUGAGAGAGACCUUGAAGGUUUUCAUUAGGUUUGGGAGAGGAGGCAGAAGAACCCAUGGCGCGGACGGACAAAGAAACUGAUCUUCCGGUGAGUCGUCGGCGGCGAGUACUGCCUUCCUUCAGUAACAGCACUGAUCCAAAAUUGAAUUGUUGGGUUGUGGAGGAGAGUAGACUUGCAGUUGCUGCUUCUGAUAAGCACUGAAUCCUCGUCGUGCUAUGACACAGAGUAGCAGCCAUUAAUGUUCUCUCUUUUUUGCAGAGUCUGACCGGUUAUCGGCGAGAAGAAGAGAGAGGAUUCUUCGUUGCUGGCGUGGCUGCCUAAUAGCUGCACAGUCCGUCUGAAGCUCUGGACUUCUCCAUCGGACACGUGGCGCUAUUUGAGGCUGACUUGGAUUCAUGAGGCUCUUGCUGAGCCACGUCAUCUAAAAGUUAGGAUAAUGAAUGGGACGAUACACUUUGUUGAAUAAUAUUCGACUAAUUACGAAUUACUUUAAUAACUUCUUAUUUUAUAAUUUCGAAUGGGAUAGUUCGGUCGAUAGAGUUGUGUGAUUGAUAACCUAGAAAUUAUAUGAAUUUAGUUAUAUUUUUCAGUACGGAUUCGUUUCCAUCAACAUAGCUCAUGAAACCAUUGGUUCUCUUGCCUUUGUAGUCGGUGGAACAAACAUGUCGAAAAUUCUUUAACCUAUAUUUAUGUUUGAUAUUUCCUACAAGUAUUUUAUAAGUAGACAUCAAGAGCAAUGAUAAGGUGGUUCUUUCAUUAAAGCACGUGUUAUGAAGCUAACGAUACAUAACCUCUUUGACUACUUAUUCUCAGUUUUAUGUUUAAAAUAUUUAGUGAUUUGGAUCUGUCAAAUAAAACUACCCACUAAAUAACGGGUGAAAAAUACUCCUUAAUAUCUCAUAUGCUCUAUUUAGACCGAUAAAAUCAAUCACUCUUUAAUAUCUCACAGGCCGUGAUUUGCCAGCGGGCAGUAGUGCAUCGAACAAACAAACCAAUGGUAUCUUCCGUCAACAGUGUACUCCAACAGAGGCGCAAUGCAAGAUGAAACUUAAAGCAACGAUUUCCCUAAGAGGGCUCAAGGAGUUACGAUUUCCCUAACAACGAGACCUUUUUCGGAUGUGAUGCAAGGCGAUGUUGCAGUAUCUCCAAUUACUGCGGCACUAGUUACUGUUACGAAUGUAACUGUGUAUUCCAGUGUACUGCACCUUAUCACCUGAAGCGCCAUCCGCCGCAAUAUCAUCAUGAAUUAAUAAUGGUACUACUACUACAGUACUGGUCAAGGGUACGCGUAAUGAGUACUGCGAUGAUGUUGAUCAAGUAGCUUCGUUAUAGCGUGCGAAUUCUCUGAAAAAUAUGCCAUUGGCAUCGCUUCAGAAGUAUGCAUGGGCUUCUUUCCCAACGAUAAGCAACGAUACUGGUACAGCUUGCGGUCGGUGCUUAAAGGUACGCAAAGAACAGCUGCACUACAGCAAAACUGUUUUUACAACCUUAAAAAAAGCUCAAUUUCUACAAAUGAAAUUUCAUCCCAGAAGCUCUGAUAGUCUCUAAUGGAACUGUCUCAGCUAAUUAGACUAGGCGUACCACAGUUAACAACGUCUUGAUUAUACAUUUAUAAAACCCAAUUGAAUGCGUACGUGUAUAGAACAAUUAAUUAAACCCUGCUGAUCAUCUUAUAAAUUCAGCAAUCGGCCCUCAUCUCAUCUAUUGUAAAAAUUGGUACAAUUUCAAACGAUGGUGAAAAUAAUCUCUGCUUUCUGGAUAGUACUAGUUGUGGUUCUGACAGCAUCAACAUCAGCAACCAGCACCGAGCUUCCGGAUGCUAGGUGUUACGAUAUCCCUAACUACCGCCGUUUUGAAUGCGAUCCGGGCCGCUGCUGUAGUAUCUGGCAUUACUGCGGUGACACCGCUGACUACUGUGUUGGACCUGGCUGUGCAUUCCAGUGCACUGACCCUGGAGAUCAUGUAACAUCAUCCAUUCGUAAUGUUACUAGUGGUACACAACUCGUCAAGGUUACACGUUACGAUGAUCGAAAUUCGUUAUCGUGUGCAAAUUCUCUCACUGAUUUGUCGUCGGCGUGCCUUCACAAGUAUCCAUGGGCUUCUUUCCGCGUCAACAACAUUACUAGUACAUGCGGCGGCUGCUUAAAAGUACGAUUUGUCAAUAUCCGUUGCAUCCCAAUUUUUCGUUGAUUAUAUAUGACUAAUAUGAUGUAUGUUUCGCAGUUGACGAAUGUUAGGAGCGGAGUUGAAGCGAUGGUACGAGUUGUCCAUGAACCUGCUACUGAAUCUGAUCAGCUGGCACUCGAACUGGGCGCUGCUACGUUCAACAAACUCAACGGCCGUGGUGAAGGUGAUCAUCAUCACGACCUUGUCGUCAAGUACAGCUUUGAAAGCUGCGAUUGACUGUACAUGAUGACCAUAGGGCGAUGAACAAUCUCGAGCCGUUUAAUUACUUUUAUCGUUUAUGAUCAAUAUCCUAUGUACUGAAUAAUAAAGUGAUAAAAAGUGUGUUUGCCGUUGGCAAGGUUUCGUGUUCGAAUCUCCAUACCGUCAUAAAUAGACGUCUAGUUAAAAUGUCCCGCCCCUUAUAUAUACAUGACAUGAUAUAUAAUUUGUAUUCCUUAUCUAUGAUCAUAUAAUGCUGAUGACAUGACUGAAAUCGAAUCGAAAAAUAAAACUAGCUAGAGUCGAGGUAUGUGUUUGCAUAGUUGACAUGACUGAACGAAGAUGACCAAUGGGUUAGAACUUGACAAUUCAGUUACUUGUAGGAUAUCAUUUAAAUUUUAAUGAUGCGUAGGUAAUAGAUCAAUAAUUUAGUGACUUAGUAAAGUUAUCACCCAUUUUAAUAAUCAUAAAAUAGAAGGCCAUUUCUUUGAAUAAUUUGUACUCUUUAUGAUAAGCUCUCAAUUAUAUUUUUUAUAAUAAUAUUUUUGCCCCCUCUAUUUUACCAAGAUAACAAUUAGGCCUUUGUACUAUCAAAAGUUGUUUUUACCUCUCCUCCUACUAAUUCACAACAUCUUCUAUCAAAAGAGGAGAACCAGUAGUAUUGGUUAGCAACAACCUGCUACGCACUCCAACAGCAUCAGCAUUACCAUCGUCGGAAUCAGAAUCCUCGUUGACAAUCCUGCGCCCCAUUUCCUGCACCAAACCGUGCAUCUCAAGCCUCUCAUCGCCCGUAACCCUCACCAAGGAUUUGUCGGCGAGGGAAGUUAUGAUGUACUCCGAAGAUCCAUACCCAUAAGCACCAUCCAAUCUCGACUUCACAUACUCCUUACUCUCUCCCUUGUAGAAACAAGCAAUGUUGAGGAACCCGUUCUUCUCGUCGCAAUCCAGCCUCUCGAAGCUCGCUUUCAACAUCCUCUGUAUCCUCUCGUUCGGUAUCCUCUGCAGUCUGAACAAUGUACUCUCCCAAUAUUCUCUGCUCCUACCUUUCAGAGCCUUUCCGAAAAUAAUAAUCGCUAACGGAUUCCCUCCCGUGUAGUUAACGACCUUCUUCGACAGCUUGAUAUAGUGCUCUUCCGGACAAUCAUCAUCGUCGGCUACAACAAUGACAUUCGAAUUCGAAGGUCUGGUUUGGCAGGUGGAAAGUUGGAUGGAAUUUUCAGCAGCAAUUAGACAAAGUGAUUUUGAGGGGUGAACUGAACACUUAUCAUAAUUGCUGUCUAAAUUAUUCCAUCCAGCUUUCCACCUGCCAAACCAGGUCAAAACAAAGAGCUCUAGAGAUUCGUCCUCGUCCAAACCCUUGACUUCGUAGAUUUCGUCGCAUACUAUCUUCAGAACCUGGUGAUCCUUACUUGUCACCAAGAUUCUGCUCCCGGGACCGAACACGGUCCGAGGCUGCUUGUCCAGUAAGUUGUGGAGCGUUAUCGGCUCAUCGACAUCGUCGAGGACCACGAAGGUUUUCGUACGACUGAGGCGGUUCUUGGAAAUGGCCGUGGUGGCCACUUUUGUGUAGCUUCGAGCGCCCAAGUCGUGGUCGUCGAGGAUGCUCGAAAAGAGCUCUUGCUGUAGACGGAGUUCGGUUGACGACCCCUUUUCAAGUUGUCUCCUGAUGUCUGCGAGGAAGUGGGAGCCUUCGAAUUGGUUCGAGAAUUGGUCGAAUAUGGCUCGGGCGAGUGUGGUUUUUCCCAUCCCGCCCAUCCCCCAUAUUCCAAUGAUCUGAGUACUAUCGGACGACGAGGACGAUGAUGAUGAAUCCAUACUCAACAAGGAUUCAAUUUCUUUCACUCGAGAAUCUGCUCCGACCAGGCCCGUAAAUUGAAGAGAUGGGGCCAUUUGAUUUAACGUCGUUAAGAUGUUCGAUACGAUCGUUCUCACUAGUUCUGCCUCACUCCUGUUACAAUUUAAGUAUGUUACAGUCUAGCAAUAGAAUUGACGAAAAGGUUCGUUUGUUAAGUUGGCUAUAAUACGAAGAAGGCAAUUCGGAAAGUGAAAUAGCAGAGUAGGCCAAAAGUUUCCACCAUAGGGAAGUUUAGUGAUUCUGAUAGCAAAUAUUUGCAGAUGGCAAGUUUUUUAAAAUUUGACAAACUAAUGUAAGUGGGUUGAAAUACUUAAUUUAUCUCGUAAUUUUGAAAUGUGUUACAUACUAAUUACGAUACUUUCAAAUGUUACGUAUUUUUAUCUCGAAACUCAUAAAUAAAGCAGAUUGGACUGAUCCAAAACAUAAGUUUCAGGACCAAAAAGUAACAUUUUGGAAGUUUUAAAAUCGAGUGGAAGGAAGGAGGAAAAGGGGGGCUUACUUAAUGACAAGAGAAUCCCAGCCGGAGAGAUCGGCAGCUGCCACCAAAGCAUUCCUCCAAAUCCCGACUUUACCCUUAGUCAACGCCGACUUCCGGUGCUUGUUCAUCGCCGCCGCGUAGCUCCUCCUCUGUUCCGCAACAUCUGAAGGAUCCACCCGAAAGAAAACCGGGUAAACGACCUGCCCGAACCGCUUCCGGCACCGCAUUAUCUGCACCAGCUCGUCAAGGCACCACCCGGAAUCCGCGUAGUUCUCCGAGAACACGACCACCGCCAUCUUCGACUCCUCGAUCGCCUUCAGCAGCGAGUCGGAGAUGUCCUCUCCUCGCCGGAGGCGGACGUCAUCGAUGUAGGUGAGGACGCGGCGCCCCUGCAGCGCGGAGUAGAGGUGGCUGGUGAAGUUGUCCCUGGUGUCCGCUCCUCUGAAGCUCAGGAACACGUCGUACUUGUGGACCACUUCGGCGGAGGAAUCGGAUUCGUCGUCGUUGACCGGCGGCGGGGAUGAGGUUCCCGUUGUGGUGGCGCGUCGGCGAGUGAAGUGGAGGAUGAUUUGGGUGAGGAAGACGGAGAGAUGGAUUAGGAGGAGGAGGUAGUACCAGAGCAUGGUCAGAUUGAAUGGCGAUCGGCUCUGCAAUUGUCCAAUCGGAAAUUGAUUGCAGAGAGAUUGAAUCGAACAAGUGACUCUUUGGAUUAAAUCGGGCCAUCGGAGAACCCACCUAACCGAGAAAUUUUGAUUAAUUUUUUAAGAAAAGACCAUAGGACGCGGCAGUUCAGAGUACAGAGUUGACUAUUCGUUAACACAAUAGAGUUGGGUGAAAGAAAUAAAAAUCAUAGCAGUCGAACCACUCACAACCCGACCGGUUCGCUCGCUAAACCCAAUACUUCUCCUCCCAUUCUUCGAUCAAACCGUCAUUUUUCAAUUAAAACCUCAGAGUUCAACAUUUUCUUAGAGAUACUUGCUUUAGUCCAAAAUAAAAAAAAAUUGAGUUGGUUAUGUAAGAUAUAAGACUCUAUCAAUAAUAAUUAUAUUUAAUUAUAAUAAAUUUAAAAUUACCUUAUUUGAAAUUAAAAUAAAUUAUUAUUAAAAACUGCGAAUUUGAUAUCAACAAAGAUUUUUUUGUGUAGAUAUCACCAACAAUUAUUAUCGGAUAUAUAAUUUAAUUUUGUGUGUAAUAAUACAAUAAUAACAAAGAAACCAUAUUGAAUAUGACGACCUUGUGUAAUAAUUUGAAGUACACUUAUUUGGAUACAUAUGUGGUACACACAUAGUCACACUAGUAACCGUACCAGGACAUAUCCUACGUACCAACCAAUAAUCACUACUUGUUAGAAGCUUUCAUGAACUUAACAAUGGAAGGGUCAUCAUCAGUAAGGGCAAGCCUCUUCUUGCCAUCUUCAUCCACAUAAACCCCGACAUCCUUACACUGAACUUUACACGACUUGCACACAGAAGGACAAUACACGAGCUUGUAGUUCCCUCCGUAUUUCACAAUCUUAAACCAGCUGUCCACAGUCCUCGGACCAGGCUUCCCUUCGACCCCACCGGUCCCGAUGAACCACUGCUUAACAUCAUGGUCGUAACUCUCCACCUUCCACACGGGGGCUUCGUCGCACGCAGUCUCUGCUGUGAACUCGAUGUUGAGGUCGGUGUUCGUCUGGACUGUGUAGCCUGGCUUGGCGUUGACAGGCAGGAAAACUACCGGGAGACCCUUGGAGAGCUCGUAGUCGUCUUGGAAGACGGAGAGAGGGCAUUUUUGGGUCUUGGUUGUGUCUAGAAAGAUGCCCCCGCCGUUUCCGGAGACGGAUGGGAGGAUGAAGUACUUGAGGCCUGACCGGAGGGGUGUGCCGUCGACGUCGGUGACGGGAGUUGGGGAUGAUGCGGCGGAUGAAAGCGUGGUGAAGGAGAUGAGGAGUAUGGUGAAUGAAGAGAUUGUGAGUAGCAUUAUUGUUGUUGUCUUCAUAAUGUAUUUCUUGUUAGCUAAUAGCUAGCUGUUGAUGUUGCUACUUAAUUAUUAGUGUUGUUUUAACUUGGGUUUUGGAUGUGUGUUGAUGGUUUGAGUUGUGACUUGUGAGUGAGGUUAUUUAUAGGGUUUAAGUUUCAAUUAGGCCUAAUUGCAUGGGGGAGAAAUGGUUGGAGAUGGAAUCUGACCAACUAAGGUUGGUAAUUAAAGACUCAUCAACUUGCUUAAUUAUAGCUUGGGUCUUUCUUCGGUUGGGCCAUAUCCAUUUGGUUGGACCAAAAGUCAAAAUUUCAGACCAAAUUGUGAUACAGUCAACAUUUCCUUUGGGUUUUGUUUUCAAAAAUGGAUCUGGACCUAUCAUUAAGGAUUUACAAUAUGGUUUUGUUAGUUUGGAUUCGUUAUAUACCAUAUAUAUAAUUAAAAAUAAAACGGUGUAUGAAGAUGAAGAGAAAAAUUUAAUGUAAAUGCUGAGCAUAAUUAUUUUGAUAUUUGUAGGGUUCAAACUUCAUAUGUGUUUGUACGUACGUUAAAAGGAGAAUAUUUAUGUCAUCGCAUCAAAUAUAAGAUUCGUAUUUUAUAUUGCUAUCAUUUUUAUUCUUAGACUGUCCAGAACUUUAAUGUAGCGUAACAUAUUCCGUCGUCAAAAGUCGUAGAGGGUCAUGGCCCCUCUCGACAACCAUCUAGCUCUGCCUUUGAGUGUAGGAUUGGAGUAUUCUGCUUCCAAGCUUCUUAAAUCGAUCUUUGUAGUUUUUUUUUACCAUAAUCUGCAUUUGUGGUUUGAUUUCCUCCACCACGACGGGCUCCCCUGGCUCCGUGACACACAAAUCCACAGCUUCAACCAUGGCUGGUUGCUCUUAUCCAGAGGCCAACCCAGUUUCUUCUUCCUCAACCCCACCACGGGACAAAUCAUCCGCCUGCCCAAGACCAUGUCUUCUCGUCCGUUCAAUGCCAUGAGCUUUUCGGCCCCGCCCACCUCUCCGGAUUGUGUGGUUAUCCGCGUUAUUGAUGUCAACCCACUCAGAUCGAUGAUGACGGAAAGUGAUGAUUAGUCCCGUAUGUUCAUCUCUUUCACAAGACGGGGAGAUAGGUCGUGGAUAGACUAUAGCUUUGAUAUCUGUGAAUAUUUCAUGGGGUAUCCGAACAAGGCAACGUUGGGAUUCUAUCCAUCCCGACUAGUCGCAGCGAGUUCAGACUUACUUGCAAAGCGAACUUCAGGUGGUCCGGUUCUAGCCCAGCUCCGGUAUUUCACAAAGGGGCUUUCUACUGCUUAAGCCAGGAAGUGAGGUUGGGGGUUUUCGACCCUAGGGAGGAGAAUAAGAAGAACAUGUGGAAAGUAAUCGAUGGCCAGUGUCGUACAGCUUUCUACAGCCAUGUUUGCAACCAAGCUUACUUGAUAGAAUCGAGUAAGGCAGAGCUGAUUUCGGUAAUGGUCGGACCAGAAGCAGAAUUCAUGCGGGUUUUCAAAUACAAUCACAUCCUUAAGCUGUGGCAGAGUCUUGAUAGCAUCGAAGAUCAAGUGGCUCUUCUGAGUCCCACUUCGUCCAUGAUUCUAUCAUGCAAGGAGCUUCAAGCUAAGGGAUUAGAGAACGCCAUUCACCUCCCGAGAUUCCAUGGCCCCUACAACGUCUACUACUCGUUGUCGACUAAGGAAUUUACAUCAACGGAACGUCCAUUGAACUGCACUUGGAUGGUACCUAAAAUGUUGACUAUAUCAAGAAUCUGGUCAGACAUUUUGACUUUUGGUCCAACCAAAUGGAUAUGGGGCAACCAAGUUGAUGAGUCUUUAAUUACCAACCUUAGUUGGUGAAAUUCCAUGCAAUUAGCCUAAAAUUAAACCCUAUAAAUCUCAACCAAUCUCUCACUCACAACUCAAACCCUCAACAAGUAUCCAAACCCAAAGCAAAACCAACACUACUAACUAUCAACAUCAGCCAGCUAAUUACAAGAAAUACAUUAUGAAGACAACAACAAUAAUGCUACUCACAAUCUCUUCAUUCACCAUACUCCUUAUCUCCUUCACCACGCUUUCAUCCGCCGCAUCGUCCCCAACUCCCGUCACCGACGUCGACGGCACACCCCUCCGGUCAGGCCUCAAGUACUUCAUCCGCCCAUCCGUCUCCGGAAACGGCGGGGGCAUCUUUCUAGACACAACCAAGACCCAAAAAUGCCCUCUCUCCGUCUUCCAAGACGACUACGAGCUCUCCAAGGGUCUCCCGGUAGUUUUCCUGCCUGUCAACGCCAAGCCAGGCUACACAGUCCAGACGAACACCGACCUCAACAUCGAGUUCACAGCAGAGACUGCGUGCGACGAAGCCCCCGUGUGGAAGGUGGAGAGUUACGACCAUGAUGUUAAGCAGUGGUUCGUCGGGACCGGUGGGGUCGAAGGGAAGCCUGGUCCGAGGACUGUGGACAGCUGGUUUAAGAUUGUGAAAUACGGAGGGAACUACAAGCUCGUGUAUUGUCCUUCUGUGUGCAAGUCGUGUAAAGUUCAGUGUAAGGAUGUCGGGGUUUAUGUGGAUGAAGAUGGCAAGAAGAGGCUUGCCCUUACUGAUGAUGACCCUUCCAUUGUUAAGUUCAUGAAAGCUUCUAACAAGUAGUGAUUAUUGGUUGGUACGUAGGAUAUGUCCUGGUACGGUUACUAGUGUGACUAUGUGUGUACCACAUAUGUAUCCAAAUAAGUGUACUUCAAAUUAUUACACAAGGUCGUCAUAUUCAAUAUGGUUUCUUUGUUAUUAUUGUAUUAUUACACACAAAAUUAAAUUAUAUAUCCGAUAAUAAUCGAUGGUGUAAGGUUUUGUUUAUAAUGUCCAUGAGACUAGUCAAACUCCUCACCUGACAAUUUUAUUCCUUCUCGAAAUCGAUCGGCCUUGCCUUAUUUUUUUCAGGACGAAUACAUGAAACCAUACAAGAAGAAUGUAUUAAUAAAAAAGACUAGGCCGCCAAAAUUAUUCGUUGUUACGCAAAGAAACUGGAUUUAUUAAAUGGUCACUGAAUUAAUGUUUUAUAUCUAAUGAGAGUGUGGUCCAAAGUACAUGUAUCAAUCCAAUUGUGCAUAAUAAGUUGUAUAACUAGUUAUUAAUUCGUGUAACUUUGUUACACAUAAUUAUAACCAACAAUUGACAAUUGUGAUCAGUUGCAAAUAAUUUAUUGACAAUAAAAACGACAAUUAUAACAAAGUCUUAUGGCUCAAUCCCUAACCACCUACUAACUCUUUUUCAAACAUGAAACCAUGACAAGUUCCCUAAGUUUGCUUAUAUAAGCAAAAACUAAAUACGGACUUGACUAAUAUGAAGAUUAAAUCUAACAUUAUAUACUAAAAUAGAGUGUCUUUUCGGAGACGUCCGAUAAAAUUGAAAAAAUAUACUAAAAUAAAGUAUUACAAGUUGAUAAAAAAACCGUGUGUAUAACUCUUGGCUCCUCUCUAUUGGGGAAGUCCUGCUGCUAUGAGAGCCGUUGGAUAAGAGAGAUUUAUAAUAGUAGUAGCAGUAUGAGCCAACAGGAAAGAAAGAAGCAAGCUAAGCAAGUUGAUUAGUCUUUCAUUACCAACCUUAAGUAGGCCAAAUUCCAUCCAAUUCCAAAAUAGCCUACAGCUUAAACCCUAUAAAUCUCACCCAACUUCUCACUCACAAACUCAAACCUUCAAACAACAGAUAUCCCCAAAGACCAAGCAAAACCAGCACUAUUAAGUACAGCAACCUCAGCAGCUAAGCUAACAAGAAAUAUGAAGACAACAAUGCUACUUGCAAUCUCUUCAUUCAUCAUAGUCCUUGUCUCCUUUACCACACUUUCUUCCGCCGCUUCAUUCCCGACUACUGUCACUGACAUCGAUGGCGCACCCCUCCGCUCGGGCCGCAAGUACUUCAUCCUCCCAUCCGUCUCCGGGGACGGGGGCGGACUAGCUCUAGGAAGAAGAACCGAUACAAAGAAAUGCCCGCUCUCCGUCAUCCAGGACGACUACGAGCUCUCCAAGGGUAUUCCGGUAGUUUUCCUGCCCAUCAACUCAAAGCCGGGCUACACCGUUCGAACUGACACCGAUCUCAACAUCGAGUUCACUACAGAGACGGCAUGUGACGAAGCCCCCGUGUGGAAGGUGGAGAGUUAUGACCAUGACGUCAGCCAGUGGUUCAUUGGCACCGGUGGUAUCGAAGGAAAGCCCGGUCCGAGGACUGUGGAUAACUGGUUUAAGAUUGACAAUUACGGCGGGAACUACAAGCUCGUGUACUGCCCUUCUGUGUGCAAGACUUGCAAGGUUCAGUGUAAGGAUGUCGGGGUUUACGUGGAUGAAUAUGGCAAGAAGAGGCUUGCUCUUACUGACGAUGAGCCUUCCAUUGUUAAGUUCAUGAAAGCUCCCAAAUAGGGUGUGUACCACACUAUAGUAUUACUUCAGAUAUUACUGCUAAUGUAUAAGAAUAAGAGAUGAGUACAAGCUCACCAAGUAAAAUGGUUUGUUCUUAAGAAUCAUCAGCAUCACUGAAAAUUCACUUUGAACCAGAGAGAAACAAAUAUGGAGCAAAUGAUAGGAAAUGACUUUAAACAGCUUCUGCAGGAUUGAAUAUACAAAAUAACCAGCAACUAUAAGUUCGACAUCACAGGUUAGACAUCAAUUCAGCAGUUGGAUGCUUAAUGCCCACAGAUGGGUUUAAGCAAACACAAGUUCUGCAAAAUCUACUAUCGGUACGAGAUGAAAAGAACUCCAAGCAUUCUUUCACAAAAGAGCCUCCUACCAAAAUGCAGCCUAGUCCUAAUAGUUCAGCCUAGCAUUAUCUACAUCACCAUAAUCCAUACACCGUCUGCUUCAAGAAUCAGCAAGUGCCUUGUCAAUUGCUUCAGCGUGAUCCUUCAGGGUCUUCCACUGCAGAAAACGACGAGAAGAAGCUCAGAAAAAUAAUAAGCCAAACCAGCCAAACUGAUGCUAGAAAUAUAGUAAAAGGCUGGGGAGGGAUGAUAGUUAGUUUGAGAUGCUACCUGAUCCACGCUCAGAGAUAUGCCUGCAAAUGGAGGAGGAAGCAUUUAGACUCGGAAUCAAAACCCAAGUGAGGAACAUAUAUACAGCAAGGAAACAGGACGAGCAUGAGAUGCUUGAAAAUUUUGUAAUGAAGCAAAAUCUUUUGGUGUUAGGCAGUGUAAAUGGAAGCAGUAGAUUCUGAAAACGUGAUACAUGUUUUAAAUAAGUAGUUGGUCAUUGGAUGUAUCAUAAGACAUCUAACUCCGUGAAAGAUGCAAACCGAGUUAGUUGGAGUUUUCAUGAACAGGAUGAGAUUGAUAAUCCAAAGAAGCCUUGCUAGUUGGCUUUAAUGUAAUGGAAGGCGCUAUAUCUACCUGAAACACGUUCUAACUCUUAAAUUCAACAUCUACAAAUUCUAAUACUUUGAUGGCCUGUAUGGCAAAAGCAAGAUUGUAACACUAACAGAUGAGAACCCAACUAAACAAAUCUUCAAGCCUGAAGAACAUACCAACCUUGAAAGCUUUUACAAAGAUAAAGAUCCAAAAUCAAUGAACAGAACACCACAACACAUCAAAGAGUACCAAAGAACACCAAAACACAUCAAGGUAGAAGAAAAACUCUAGAGAUACCUUUCUUCCCAGGGAGCUGCUUCCCAUCCUUGGUGUAGAACUCACGAAUGUCCACCCAUACCUUUCCCUGCCAGUUCCUCACUUUCACUCUCCUGUUGUGAGAUAUCUACAGAAAAACAUCCAUAAAACCAGUUCAAAACAUUUGGAAACAAAAAAAGAUACCUCACAGUCUAGAAAGCCUAGAAUUACCAACAUCAAAGCAAAACAAAAUUCCUGUCACUAAAUAUACGUUCAGCACGAAAUUAAUUUUAACUAGACCUACAUCGCAAACCACGAUUUCGUCAGAAUCUUCCGAGGCAUCAGCUUUGGAAGCUUUCUUUGGAGCAGGAGCACGGCUGUCCUCGUCGGACGCAUUCUCUUCCACCUCCUUCCGCUUGUAUCUUCCAGACAUUGUUCCGAUGCUUUCUUCUUCAAAAAGCCUGCAAGCAACAGACGUGUGUUCCGGUUAAGGCUUUCUGUAGAGCAGAGAACAAAGGAAAGACUACCAUGAUGACAUUCAGCAUAGAAGAUUAGAGGGAACAAACUCGUUGAAGACCUGCAAAUACCUUCAGAGCUUGAAUCGCUUCUCACCCAACUUCUUCGCCGUGUGGAGGAAAUGGAAGAGACCACUGAUGGGGUUCACCGUAAGACAAUGAAGACCGGUGAAGUUGAAGAGUUUUAGGGCUUGGCUUAUAUAAUUGAAUAAAUUUGACUUAAAAAAAUAGCGAUAAAUAAAAUAAAUAAUUGAAAAAAGACAACAGAUUUCCUUUCCCAGCCAACGAAUCACCAAUUCAGCACUACCCAAAACGGAAAGACUCGUCCUUUUGCCCGCGAUGAACACCGUUGCUUCCAAGGUCGCCGUGGUUGGAAGUGGAAGUACGUUCAAAUUUGUUCCCUUUUUCUUCUGUUUGUCGUCAUAUUUGUUUUGUGGCUAAUGGUGAAAAUACCGACGGUGACAGUAUCAGGAGCAGUAUGUGCAUCCACUCUGGCCAAACAUGGCAUCUCGGUUACCCUUUUCGACUCCGCAAGAGGCCCCGGUGGCCGCAUGUCUCGCAGAAGGCAAACAUUCUUCCACUUUCUGCUCUUGACCCUUUGCCAUUUUUUUCAAGCUGCUCCUGAUUUGGUUUACUGCUCAAUAGGGAAAUUUGUGAAGAUGGGAAGGAGCUGUUAUUUGACCAUGGAGCUCCCUUCUUCUGUGCAACUAACAAUGAUGUGUUGAACCUUGUUCAUGAAUGGGAAUCAAAAGGCCUUGUGGCUGAGUGGAAGCACAGCUUUGGGGAUUUUGAUUUUGGCUCCAAAGGGUUCCUUAACAUUGAAAAGGUACGUCUGAUAUCUUAUUUUCCCUCUUUGGGAUGAUUCUGCUGCCAUUUUAGAGUACGUGUGUUGCUUGAUUGCCUUUAUGAAUUAGGAUAUAACCAAUUUCUGCAUCAAGUUCCUCAGAAACUUGUGUUGUUGAUAAUUUGAAACAAUAUAGACCUUACAGUACUUGCUAAAUGUGAUAAAGGUAGCUUCUUUUCCAUUCUAAUGUAUAGUUAUGAUUAUCUUGAAAUUUGUGUUCUGUAGGAAUACACGGCCAAGAGAUAUGUUAGUGUGCCAGGCAUGAACUCUAUAUGUAGAGCUUUGAGCAAUGAAACUGGUAAUGUCAAUAUCUGUGUUGCUUUCUGUUGCAGUGCCCUAGUCCAAGUUCUUAAUGAACUUAUUAUGCGGGUACAGGUGUGGAGAGUAAGUUUGGUGUUGGAGUUGGAAAGAUAGAAUGGUUAGACGACGAGAAAUCGUGGUCACUGACCAGCUCUGGUGGCCAAGCACUUGGUCAUUUUAAGGGAGUGGUAGCAUCUGACAAAAACAUUGCUUCAUCAAGAUAUACUGAGGUGACUGGAUUUCCGCCACCCCUUGGUAUGAUCAUUCUAUUUCUAGAACGUCCUUCCUUAUCUUUUCUGCAACAAAAGCCAGUAUUUUCCAGAGAUGCACUUGUAUCUGAUAAGCUCACUCAGUCAGUAUUGCUUGAUGGCUUUGAUUCUGUCAUAUGCUAGUCAGUAAGAAAUUGCUCAUCACAGAUGAAGAUAAACGUUGAUUUAAUGAAAGUCGUAUUACUUAUCUCCUGCAUGUGAGACUGAAUUGAUUGAUGCUAGAUCAAUACGAACUUUAGGAGUUGGAAAUGAUGCUAUAUUUCAUAGUUGGAGAUAACUUGUUAUAAGAAAGUUUGUAUGAUUGUUUAUUCGAUCUGAGCUGAUCUCUUGAUGUCAGCAUAUAAUAUCCAGAUCUCAUCUUAACUAUGAAGGUAUUUGUGAUUCUUUUCAGAUCUAAAUUUUUCUCCUGAGUUGGCAGUCAAGUUACUGGACAUUCCUGUCAAUCCAUGUUUUUCAGUGAUGCUGGCUUUCACAGAGCCUUUGUCAUCAGUAAGUCAAUUUGAUGCAUCCCAUUGUUGUGAGGUUCAGUUCUAACAUCGUUGCUUAGCGUCUGCUUGAAAGUAGAAAACUUUAUAACUUGGGUAGUCCAUGAAUUGCUGUCCAACUGAUGGGAAGUCUGCUGGUAAUGAUUUCAGAUACCUGUAAAGGGCAUAGCUUUCAGAAACUCGGACGUCUUGAGUUGGGGUUACUGUGACAGCAGCAAACCCUCACGUCCAACCACAAGGUUUCCUAGAUCUUGCUUGCUUUACCGCCAAGUAACUGUCUUAAUACACUUUUUAACUCGAAUCAUCAUCAUGUGUCUGUUACGACAGCGAAAGAUGGGUGCUUUAUUCGACUGCCAAGUACGCAAGGAACGUAAUUUCUGAGACAGGACUCAAGAAGCUUUCAAGUGAAGCAUUGAACAAAGUUGCAGAAGAAGUGCUGUCGGAAUUUCAAAGCACCGGACUUUGUAUCCCUCGCCCUUUCUUCAAGAGAGCUCAUCGUUGGUUAGUAUGUUUUGACAUUGAUCUGUCGUCAUAAGCUCCAUGGCCAUCUGAAAUUGCUUUUUUUUUCUUGACAGGGGAAGUGCUUUCCCGGCUGCAAGCGUAGCUGGAGAAGAGAAAUGCUUGUGGAGUGGGGAGAGGAAAGUGGCGAUUUGCGGAGACUUUUGUGUCAGUCCAAAUGUGGAAGGUGCAAUACUCAGUGGGGUUGCUGCUGCUUCAAAGCUUUCAGCUUCACUUCUCAGCUGUUCUUCAAAGUGCUAAGGUUUUAAGUAUAAGAAGUGCAAAUUCGAGGUGUUUGCAAUUCUUCAUAUCCUUGAUCCAUUGUAUGAAUGCAGUUCUUUAAGGGGUCGUUUGGAUGAUCUUGCUUGAAAUAUAUGAAUUUUAAAUGAAAAGAAAUUCAAAAUGCAACAAUUCGAUACAUGAUAGAUUGAUAAUUAUGUGAGUAUUUCACCCCAUUUCCAAUACAGUUUUUACUUUCAAAUCAACCGGUCAAUAAUUAGUGGUCUUAAAAUCCGCCCGCUUGCUGCUUCGACGGACCAAUAUAAUGGCUUGGUUCGGAGGGGCCUAAUGGUGCCGCCCAAGCAAAGAGAGAGUAGCAAGAAAGAAUACACGGUUAAGAAAUAAAUGUUCGGAUUUGGUUUUGACGUUCUUUUUCUAAUGUACUUUAUUCAUUUGUAUUUUGUAACAGUUCAAAUUAAAAAAAAACACCAUAAUAAAGAUCAAAUGGGAAAAUAAUAAAUAAAAUAAGUGGACCCCGCAAUCAACGAGACAUUCAAAGCAUCUCCUCUGGUAUCCGCCCAAGCUUCCAGUGGCAGUUUCAAGUCUGCUCCAAAUUCUACAGCUGCCGCGAAAUCAAAUCUCCAAUCUCCGGGCAAGUGAUUCUUCAGAACCCGCUCCUAAUCUACAGCAAACCGCCAAAACUUCUCUCCUUCUGAAGUUUGAUUCUCUCUCUAAGCUCGGGGUAGUAUGCGAACUUGCAAGCGGGAACGCACUAGCGCCGCCGCCGCUCAUGGAGAAGGAGGAGGUGAAGAGCGGGUUCUUAGGAAUACUAAGCAGGAGCGAGUCCGAGCUAACUUGCGUGCGGCCCGGGAGGAAGGCGAGGAGCCUGAGCAAGGCGUUGAGGAAAGGAGAAUCCUUCGAUUUAAGUAUCGCGCCUUACAAACUAGGAUCAACGGUACAACAUCUUCUCCUUCUUCUUGUUCUUCGACUUCAUCCUCAAACCUUGAUUCUUUCGUUUAUUUGAGUCUUUCUAAUGGUUGCAGAGGAGAGGGAUGAUCUGACGAAUGUCGAUUCCGAUAAGUUCGGCUCGUUUAUGAAGGAGGUUGAUGAUUUGCACCAAUACGGUAACUACUCCCUAUCCCUAAUUCAAAAGAAGAUCUCACUUUUCUAAACUGAUUCCUUGAUGAAUUGGCUCAGUAAUGUUUGAAUAUCCACAACUGUAUAUUCUUUUCAGUUCAGAAGCCAAGGGAGCAGGUUGCUGAUGCAGAGGCAUUGUUGGGGCUAACUUCCUCAUUAGUUUCCUCUGUUAAGUCACAAUCUGCUGACGGUGUUACAGUUGGAGGACUUAUCGCUCAAUUGAAGAAUGCCUUUGGGCAACCUGCAACUGGUUUAGAUGAUCAGGAAAAUGUCCCGAUUUCAGUCAAUUGGAAGGAGAUUGGGCUCUUUGUUUCGCCUAUAUUUAAGAACUUCAGAGGGUUUACCACCAUGUGAGAGCUUGCUCUUAUUGUUUGCUUAUUGUUUGCUCUUACGUGACUUCUAUCUGGAUUGUGUUGGUUUUCUGGUGUUUGAUAUUUGAAUCCGUGGUUCUGCUUACAAAGGUUGGGGCCAAUGGAUACUGAGAUCAAACUAAGGAAGCACAAUGUAACUCAGAGGACCCGAACGAAGCCUGGUCAGAGUACACGUCCAGAAGAAGUAAUGUUUGAUUCCUUCUUUGACUCUUUACUUCCAUGUUUGUCUGGUUAAAUAUCUGAAGGUGGCGUUUUUGGACAACCUGUCAAUUGACAUUCAAAUGAACGACUUUGAAUUGGGUAGUGUCUAAAUGAUGCUACUUGGUCUUUGAUAUAUCCAUUGAACAAAGUUUCUGAUACUUGCUUUGUCUGCUUAGGUUAAUAAUGCUGGAGCUGAAGAGAGAACUGAUACUGAUAAAAACAUGGCAACCAUGUUUGGGGUCUUGAGGAGCAAGAAACGUGUAAGGCUCGAAAGUUUGAUCUUGAAUAGGAGAUCUUUUGCCCAGACUGUGGAGAACCUGUUUGCACUUUCUUUCUUAGUGAAAGAUGGCCGGGUUGAAAUUGUUGUGGACGACAAUAACACUCAUUUUGUCUGUAAGUUAUAAAACUCCAUUGAUGCUGAAACUCCUUUGUUAUCUGUUUUGUGUUGCUUUUGUAACUUCUUUCCUCUUUUGUUCAGUGCCAAGGAAUGCCCCAGCUGCUGAUUCUGUUGUCUCAAAGGAGGUUGCAUAUAGACACUUUGUAUUCAGAUUUGACUUCCAAGACUGGAAGGUAAAGUUUGCAAAUUCCAUGGAAACAUUCUGGGGUGCUUUCAAGGUUAUAAACUUGUGAUAUGAUUUCAAUAUCCUUAAUAUGCCUUUCUCUUAACUAUGGAUUUGCAGUCUAUGCUCAAUGGGGUACCUGAUGGCGAAGAACUGAUGCCAGACCGAGAUACCAAAACUCCUGCUGCAAUGGACACUGGUGCUGCCAGCACUCAACGUGCACAACCACGAGCUGCAAUGGACCCUGGUCCUUCCAACUAUCAAGGUGCACAACCACGAACACCGAUACGUAAACUGACAAGGAACCGUGGGUUCGUUGUACAGAAUGAAACAGUCGAGGAGACUCCUGAAGAAGAUGAUGAUGACGGUCUUCUUAGGAGAACUGGCGUCAAUCGAUGCAAGCGUAGGCUUGUUUAAGGGGUGUGGUCUUGCAACAAAUGUGCAUGCCACUGGAUUUUGUGUGUGUGUAUAUAUGUACAAUGGUAGUGUUUGACCAAAGUUUAGAUCUUUUGGUAGUUGGUGAUAUUGGCUCCCUCGGCUCUUAGUAAUCGAUUAGGUCUGGAUUCGGUAUCCAACUAGGAAAUGUUCAAUCAUAGCCAUCUUUGUUACUACAUCGGUCAUGAUGUAGGUUCAAUUUCUGUAAACUGUUACAGAAUUGUGGCUGGAAAAAUGUAUUGUUUCAUGCUUGAACCGAAUCGGCUUGAUGACCAGUUCAUGAUUAAACUGGUCUUAAGUUCUCUUGUAUGUCAUUCUCUUAUGCAACCUUUCCUCUUUCACUUAACCUUCACUGAAUGUCUGAUAUUGCAAUCUUCUUGGGAGGUCUACGAGUUCAUGAACAAGCUGAUUUGAUGGAAAGAAGUUUGCUCAAUUAAACAUAUAAGAUGAAACUGAUACAGUUUUAUUCAAAGGUAUCAUCAAUUUCCAGGAACCAUGAAGUGAAAUGAGCUACCUAAGCAGGAUCAUCAUUGAGAUGGUUAAAGUUUCUUGCAACAGAAAUGGAUGGUUAGAUAGUUGGUGCUAUGUGAAAGCGGAAGAAACCUUCCAAACCAUUCACAUAACUUGAAGCAGAAGAAGAUUGGGGUGGAACAAACAUGGAUUGCUAUAUUAAGAACCCUAACAUUGAAUUGAACUCUUGAUUAAAAAAAUUUUGGUGGUGAGACUUCCAUUUCUGCAGUAUGGCUGACAGCCUGCGACUUUGUAGGAUUAUUAUUUUGAUGGUAAUAAAAAAGAGAAUGUUCCUGCCCGGGAUCGAACCGGAGACCUUUUGCGUGUAAAGCAAACGUGAUAACCACUACACCACAGAAACAUUUGAUGAACACAAUCCAAGUUAGCUACUAGAAAAACGUAACAUUGUUUAGCAAUUAGUCAGGGAUAUCCAUAAGUAUUACAUCCAAUCACAUUUCAUGACUGCUCGCUUCGGAGGUGGCUCGCUUCUUUUCAUUAGCGGUUUGAGAUAUCUAAGUGGGAAAUCUGCUUCAUAAUUAUUUAGAUUUAUUUCAUUCUCUUACUUUCAUUGUUCUUUUUCAUCUUUCUCGUCAGGAAAAUAGAGCUCCCCAUUUAAUAACAUGAAAAACUUUUUGUAUUUCCUAAUUGUGUAUGUAGAUUCUUAAGUUUACGUUAUUGCAUUAGCUUAUUUAUUUAAGUAGACUCACAGUUUCGCUCAGUAAAAAAGCUUCUUUCUUCUAUUAUAUUAAUAAAGUGCUCGCGGCCAACCUAUGGGCUUUAAAGGGAUAGGGGAAGGGAAGAAAACAAAGACGGUCACUCCUUUUAGAAACAUGGCUCGUUCAUUCACUUGCUCAUGAACUCGACGUUUCGCCAGAAGCGACGAAGGGGGACUGGGGACGACGACUGCAUGACAUGAGGGGAAAGCUGUCUACGAAGCUUUUGUAUUUUGUUAUCUUAUUUGUGUACCAAGAACUAAUACCUACGAAAACAAAUAGAUCGAUCUAUUAUACUGGUUGACAUCUUACAAUCCAUACAAAAGUCAAAUGAAACUCGACAUCCAAAUCUGCCUCAAUUCCACGUAUUUUUUUAUUACUGAUAGAUACUUCCUCUCCAUGGAUUCAAAUCCCCUUAUAAGAUCAGCAAAAGCAAUCAUCAUUACCCAGAAAAAGUUCACUACCGUUCUGGUAUUCUCAUGCUUGCUAGUCAGAAGAAAACCAGAGGCUUAGAAGGACAAAGAACACGCAUCUACUACCUCUAAUCUAGAUUCCACCACAAAGAAAAAGAAAACAAAGGGACAAGAUUCAAAGCACAUCCCAAAAUGCCUAAACUUUUCAUGCUCUUCCAAAAACCUGAUGUUCAUCUGCUCCAGCUUGAUGAUCAUCUCCCUGCUGCACUUCCACAAUCUCAGCCUCUUUGCCAUGACCAUAAUCCAGACUGAUCGGUUGGUACCACUUCGCACAGCCUAGAUAAAUUACGAAAUCAACGAGCGUGAAAGCUGCAAUCGUUCCAUAGUACAAAUCCAUCCGACCCUCAUUCAAAUCUUCAGGGAUCCACCCUGGAUUCUCCCCUCUUGCAGUUAUGAUCAUCACCAUGUUCACAAGCAAGCUGCUGACGUAGUUCCCCAAAGAGAUCGAAGCCAUGCAGAGCGAGCUUCCGAAGCUCUUGAUCCCGUCCGGAGCCUGCCCGUUGAAGAAUUCCAACUGACCCACGUACAUGAAAACUUCAGAACAACCGACAAGUGCGUACUGUGGGAUCUGCCAGAACACGCUCAGCUUGCUGACCUUUUCCCCAUGGCUGACGUUCUUCAGCCUGAACACCUCGGUGAUUGCUGCAGCGAUCAUGGCGAACAUUCCGAUGAUUAGCCCGACUCCCAUCCUCUGCAACUCGGUUAGUCCCUUGGGAUUUCCGCUCAGCGUCUCGGCUGUUGGGACGAGCACCUGGCGGUAGAUUCCCGUGCAGAUUAGCACGGAGCAGAUGUCGAAUGCUGACAUGCUCGCUGCUGGGAGGCGGAAGUUCCCAAUGGUGGUGUUCAUCACAUCCCCUUGCUCCACGAAGAACGACGCCAUUUGAGUGAAAACCACUGAGUAGAUGAUUGUGCAGAGCCAAAUUGGCAGCAUUUUCAGCACACAUUUGGCUUCCUCAACCUGUGUCACUGUGCAUAGCCUCCAUGGAUGCCUCUCCGCUGGAUUCUCGCCUUCUGUGAUCGUUGCUGCUUUGUCUAAGCUCCUGCAUAAUUUUAAUUAAUCAAUUUCCACAAUGUAAUGAGUAACUAGCUUGGGUUUCAGCUUCAUUAAGACAAUAACCAAUCAAUCGAUUCAAUCAGAUUCCAAAUCGGCUUGCUCGAGUUCACUGCAUAGUUCAUGUAACCAAUUGCACAAUGUUAUAAUAACUUUAAUAACCAAUCAGUCAAUCCAUUGAAUCAGAUUUUCGAGUGGCUUACUCGAAUUCAUUGCUGUGAUUGAUCUUCCGGCUGCCUUUGAUCGCCGAUUCGGUCCCUUCAACCUCGUAAAGCAAUUCAGGACUAACAGACGGGGCCUUCCGCUUCCUGAUGGCGGCGACGAAGACUUGUGCGACGCGUGGCAAAGGAUUGCCGCAGGGCUUGAUGUAGCGGUAGAAAGGCAUGCCGACGAGGUAAAGCACGAGCGCGAGGACAGCAGCGCCGAGGGAGGCGAUGAAGCCGAUGGUCCAUUUUCCGGUGUCCUCGUAGUAGACGAUGACGGUGUUGGAGAUUAGCGAGCCGCAGUUGAGGGCGAAGUAGAAGUAGCAGAAGAAAGCAGCCCUCGCGUCUAGCGUGCUGGGGUUCGACUCGUCGAACUGGUCCGCUCCGAAAGUUGCCAGAGUCGGCUGGUGGCCGCCAUAGCCUAGAGCUACUAAGUAGAUCGCGAGCGUGAAGAUAGCGGAGCCCGGGUUUGUUGCUGGGUUGCAGUCCAGAAAUCCGUCUCCGCAGUUGUUGGGCUUUAUCAGGUAUACUCCUGAUGAUACUGUGACCAGUAUCAGACCCUGCGCGCCAAAUAACAGGAUUUCUGUCAGGAAUUCUAGGGCGGUUUGUAACUCGACUCGAUUUUAAAUGUGUCAAUUUCGAGUUAGGGUAUGCUCGACUUGAUAGACUCGCAAGCUGGCUUGAGCUUGAGAGACAACUCGCAUGCUAGCUCGAGUAUAUGGCUCGUUAGUAGACUAAAUAAUGCAAGAUAUACUUUUCAUUGAAUAUUAUACAACAAAUCAUAUCUGGUGUGCGAAAUUGUAAUGAAAAAAUAAAUGAGUCAUUGUUGAUUUAACUAUUUGAAAUGAGAAAUGAGAAAACUUAUACAUUUUAAAAUAGUAUGUCCUUUUAGUUUGAUUUGUCAAUAUUUUGUGUAAAAAAUUAAAAUUUAGCUCAAAUUAUAUUCAUGAGAGAGAUUUUAAUAGCUCGAACUUGAUUCGUCAAGGAUAAUUAACGAGCCAUAUUCAAAUAGUCUGAACUCGCCUAAAAUAUAAAGAGCCAAAUUUAAACAACAUAAAGUUAGGCUCUUCUCAGCUUGAUUUGUCAACCAGUACGUACCACAACGAACACGGCCUGGAAGAUGCCGCAGGUGUUGAAGCGGCCCCAGUAAGAGUCGCUGAGGAAAGCUCCUAAGAGGGAGAAAAGGUAGACAGUUCCAGUCCAGAUGCUGACAUCAUUUGCAGCGUCCGCAUUGCUUCUCCCCAUCACUCUCGCCAAGAACAGCACCAGAUUUACCCCUACUCCGAAGAACGCCAGCGUCGCCAGCGCUUGAUUCGCUGCAGUACACCAUAGUAAUCAUGUACAUACUCAUGUUACAAAACAACUCAAAAUCUUGUAUAAUAGAAAGGAAUUUGAGAUGCAUGCAUAUAUACCUAGCAAUAGGAAUGCAGCUACCCAACCACCUCUGCCCCUGGCAACAAUGGGAGAGGUUUGGUUGUCGACAUUCUCGACAGAAGUUGCGGUAGCAGAGACCACCACAUGACUUGUUUCUUGUUGAAUUCGAUCCUCCUGGUGAGCUUGGGUGCUUCCAUGGUUAUGCUCCAUUUUGGUUCACUCUCACUUCCACUCGCCUACUGAUGAUAAUUCAAUUAAACAAAAAAAAAUCAAUUCUGUUCAAUACCCAUAUACUAAUCAUUUCACUCGAGUAAAUGUUCAUUACAAAAUAGAAUAAAUCCAUUCAAAAAUCAUUAAAAGCUUUAUAAUUUCAGUCUAUCAAAAUCACCAAACAAUACAAAUCGAAUCAUGUCACCUUAAACAAAUCACAUCCUUUUCAAUCUAGUUAUCACUACGGGGUUCAUGUUAUCAUUGAAGAAAUAUGGCAAUAGUGAACAUCACCCACCUCGGUAAACGCUGUUGUUUUGGGGAAGAUGAAUCAGGGGAAUUAAGAGAUCAAGAUGAAAUGUGUAUAUGUAUAAAGCUAGCUACUCCGGCGAAGGCGAGGAUCGAGGACAAAUUAGUAACAAGACAGAGGACUCCGGCGAAGGCGAAGAAGAUCGAGUAGCAGUGGAGAUGGAGAAGCGGCACCUGAUUGUAGGCCAGAAGAGAACGAGGAAUGUGACGGAAAAGCUAGACAAUGUGGACGAUAAUAAAUUUUUUUUCAUUUAUGAAUAGAAUCGGAGAAGAGAGGAACAAUUUAUUGUUCUGAAAAUUUUGACAAGAACAAACAGAGGAAUGAAAAUCUCAGGCGAUUCAGAGACGAUAAAUUAUGAAAUGAUGUGGUGCAGAUGAGUGAUGUGGUUAUUUAUAGAAAGGGAGGGCGGUGGAGAAGAAUUGGUCCACUUCUCCUCCUAUCACUUAGGAGUCGUCGUCGGUUGUAUAUAACCUUUUAUUCCUGAUUUUGCUUAUCACUUAUUCUGUUAAUUUUCUUUCUUUUUAUCCAUCUUCUUCUCGAUCUUCCAUAUUACAUAUCACCUCUUCAAUCUUCCCCCUUUCACUAUAACAGAUUCUAACUGACCCUACUUAUAUUUUUGUUGUUUUUAAUGAGAUGGAAAAAUGUAAUUUCUAACUAACAGAAACGUAUAAUUAUUUUUUAAUGUGAUCUUAUGUCGGAUAAAAUUUUAAAAAAAAUUAUGCAAACAUCAAAUUGUUAUUUGAAAAUUCGUGCUAAUACCUCUGAAGGACCAAAUCACUAAUUCAACAACUUAUACCAUCGCUAUCAAGUGGAUGGGAUGAGUUUUUGUAGAGGAUGCCCAUAUUUGAAAGCAUGAUGUUAUGUUAUAUUUGAUUGUUUGCACGUCACUUUAUAGCUUUUAAUAUAAGGCUAACAUAUGUAAUGGUAAUAUUCACAAUUUGAAAGGUCAUAGUGAUCGAUAUAUGUGACUGUUGGUUGAUUUUGUCGAUGAGAAAGAUAGGAUUUUGUUGGAGGCAAUUAUUAAAGUAAUUUAAACUAAGUUUGUAAUAUACGAAUUACGUAAAUUUAUAUAUAUAUUAAAAAAAAUCGAUCAUUAAGUAAAACACAAACCAUGUAUAAAAAAUUUCCGAAAAAAGUCUAAUAAUUCCAAGUUGGAUUAUUUAUGUAAAUAUUUAUCUCGGUAGGAGAAGGUAGAAUAUUCAAAUUUAGAUGACUAUACUAUAGUGCAGAUAAACAUUAACCCACCAGUCCUUGAGAUCAUUUUCACCUCAACUGCCUGCCAGCUGCACUAUCUCAUCGGUCGGUCUGCGCCUUUUCUUCUUCUUCUUCUUCUUCUUCUUCUUCCAUUUUCCCCUCCCCCCGCCCAAUUUCUUCCUUCUCAGGAACCCUAACCCUAAGUUUUUCCAUUUCUCCUGCGAUUCGCUUUGCCUCAUUCUGAUCCUCUACCUCUGUUUGCCUGUUCUUUGUAAUCGAAACCUCCCUUUCAUCUUACGAACCAAUUCCACCUUUUUGUGUUCAUUUCUUUUUUUUUUCUUUUUCCUUCAUACGUUUUGAAUAAAAUUUUGUAUUUCUCAACCAUGGCCAGCUCGAACUCACUAUAAUGACAAUCAUAGACUCUCUAGGGUUUUUCCUGCUUCUAGGGCACCAUCAACAAUUGCAUGGGAAUGAGCGAUGCCUAAGCUCCGCAGAGGUGUAGCAAGAGGUCGCGCAGGGUUAGCGCCUGGAGGCAACAACAAACAAUCGGAGCCUCCUGCCGCUGCCAGAGAGGGCAAUCAGAGGCCGAGGACGAGGUUGGAGUCGAAGCGAUUGAAGGAGAAGGAAGAGCAGGAGGAUAAUAGAAGGGAGGUUGUUGUGAUAUCGGAUAGAGAAGAGAGUAAGAGAAUAGUAAAAGUCGGUAGUUUGGUUCCUGUUGUUGACCUUGAAGCGGGAGAAAAAGAGGUUAGAGUUGGCGGAAUGGCUGACGAUAGUGGUGGCUUGAGUGCUAAUAAUGCCGCCGGGCAGGAAGAAGAAGGGACUGCGACUCCUUUCCCUGAAAGAGUACGUAUUCAAGGAUGAGUUUAGUCUCUAAAGGAGCUUGGUUUUGUUGAAUAUGCCGAUCUUUCUUAAACUUUUGAUUGCGUGUAAAUAUUUCGUCUGAUGACUUAUCUGUCAUUUGUCGCCUCCUAGUCUCUUAGUUCAUCCAGUUUUACUAAAUUCAUUGUCCGUUGGUCAAUUUCCAGGUUCAAGUGGGAGGGUCACCAGUGUACAAGAUAGAAAGGAAGUUGGGUAAAGGUGGCUUUGGUCAAGUUUUUGUUGGUCGUCGUGUAACCGGUGGAAAUGAACGCGGGACAGGGGCUGGUGCUAUGGAGGUAAAGUCAAUGUAGCUAAUGCUGCACCCGAUUGGUAUGAUAUAAUGGAUUGCAUUGAACUUCCUUUUCCUCACUAUAUUUCUAAAAUCUCAGGUGGCCGUGAAGUUUGAACACAGAAAUAGCAAAGGCUGUAAUUAUGGUCCUCCUUAUGAAUGGCAAGUUUACAAGUAAGUUUCUCUUCGAUCUCUGCAGAAUUCUCCGGGAACUGAGCUAGAAAAAACACAAGACUUUUUAUUUUACAUUUGGUGCUCUUCUGUUUUGCAGCACCCUUGGUGGCAGUUAUGGGGUGCCCAGAGUGCAUUUUAAAGGAAGGCAUGGAGAUUAUUAUGUUAUGGUAUGGUCUACUCAGUUGGGAUUUCUUCACACUCCUGUAAGGUUUUAUGUCUACAGUUUGUAAACUUUUUCAGGUUAUGGAUAUGCUUGGCCCAAGCCUGUGGGAUGUUUGGAAUUCUUCUGGUCAAGCGUGAGUUGUUUGAGCAUUGAUACUCUGCUGUUUUCUUUUUCUCGUGUUUUAAUAAAACACUCAUUUAUUUUUAAAAAGUAGUCUGCUGUUUCCUAUGUAUUGGAUGGUUUAGUUUAGUGCUUGAAGUUCACUAUUUAACUCCGUAUGAUCUUGAGAGCAUUAACGUUCUCCCUCGUUAUGUGAUUUGUUCUUUAUCUCUUCUAUUUUCUAUAAUUGAAGGAUGUCUGCGGAAAUGGUAUCUUGUAUAGCUGUGGAGUCCCUUACCAUCUUAGACAAAAUGCACUCACGUGGGUAUGUACAUUCACGACAUCUGUUGUCUUGUAGUUUGUUCGUACCACUUUGGGUUGGAAUAGUUCGUAUCAGCUUUUACUUUCUGUUUUUGACUUUUGGGUUGUAUGCAUCUCUUAUGAUGUAGAUAUGUGCACGGGGAUGUAAAGCCAGAGAACUUCUUACUUGGUCAGCCAGCUACAGCACAGGAGAAGAAACUUUUUCUUGUGGACCUGGGAUUAGGUCAGUAGCUUCUGCUGUUUCUAUUAUAGCUUGUUGCUUUUGUACUCUUGAUGCUUAUUGGUAAGUGUUUCACAGCUACAAAGUGGAGAGACGGUAGCAGUGGGGAACAUGUCGAAUAUGACCAACGUCCUGAUAUGUUUCGGUGAGAAUUGGUGCUUCUUUGCUUGUUUUCUACUAGCAAUCUGCGUCCUUCAUUUAUUUAUUGAAGUGCUUGCAAUAAUAUUGAACUUAGGUCGGUCUGAUGAUUUCAUCCAACUUUUCUGUUAUCUGAGUUAAACUUCUUGCUGGUUGUUCUUCUGUAGGGGUACUGUGCGAUAUGCCAGCGUUCACGCUCAUUUGGGAAGGACAGCUAGUCGGAGAGAUGAUCUUGAAUCUCUGGCUUACACUCUGAUCUUCCUGCAUCGAGGCAGGUUGCCCUGGCAAGGCUAUCAGGUAUUUUCAGUUGAAUCCAAAUUCAUUGAAUAUAGGAAGCUGCAGUGCACCAAUGUGUGGGUUCAUGAAGCACAUAUAAGAAACUUUGUACUUAUGGAUCUUCUUCUUUGACGUUCUCUUUUUUUUUUCUUUUGUCUCUAGGGUGACAAUAAGUCCUUUCUAGUUUGCAAAAAGAAAAUGGCAACGUCUCCAGAGAUGCUGUGCUGCUUCUGUCCCCAACCUCUCAAGCAGUUUCUUGAGAUUGUGGUCAAUUUGAAAUUUGACGAGGAACCAAACUAUUCCAAGCUUAUAUCUCUAUUUGAGGGCUUGUUAGGGCCAAAUCCAGCAAUAAGGCCUAUAAACACAGAGGGGGCUCAAAAGGUAUUUAUUAUACUAUCAUCUCUAUGGUUUUUGGCAUGUUAUUGGUUCUAAUAAGAUGAUUGUCCUGUGUUAGAUUAUCUCUCAAGUUGGUCAGAAACGUGGUCGGUUAAAUAUGGAGGAGGAUGAUGGGCAACCAAGAAAGAAGGUUCGGCUUGGAGUUCCUGCUACACAAUGGAUUUCAAUUUAUAAUGCGAGGCGACCAAUGAAACAGAGGUAGAAACAAUUCCAUUGACUGUAUUCUUUCCCUGACUUUGUGUUCGAUGAUACUGACAGGUCUCAAUCAACUAUCGUGUCUUGCAAUUAGGUACCACUACAAUGUUGCUGAUGGAAGGUUGGCACAACAUGUGGAGAGAGGAAUUGCCGAUGGUCUUCUUAUAAGUUCUGUGGCGUCCUGUACGAAUCUUUGGGCAUUGAUUAUGGAUGCCGGAACCGGUUUUAGUAGUCAAGUUUAUGAACUGUCUCCCUUUUUCUUGCACAAGGUAAAUCUCUAGUACUUUAGUUUCUAGAAUGCAAACACGCGUGUCCAAAUUUCUGAUUUUCUAAACACAAUCGUCUUAUUUUAUUGUGAUAGGAGUGGAUUAUGGAACAAUGGGAGAAGAACUACUACAUUAGCUCAGUUGCUGGCUCGAAUAAUGGUAGCUCACUUGUAGUUAUGUCCAAAGGUUGGUUAGAUUUUGUUUGCAAGUUAUUUGAAUCUUGUAAAACUGUUCAAAUCUUUCCGAUUUUCAGAACUCUUUUACCUUCGUCUACUGUCAGUAUAUAUUUCUAGCUUGUGUUAUAUUGACACCUAAAUCGUUAAACCAUUAAUGAUGCAGGCACUCAAUACACUCAACAGUCUUACAAGGUCAGCGAUUCGUUCCCUUUCAAAUGGAUCAACAAGAAGUGGAAGGAAGGAUUUCAUGUGACCUCAAUGGCAACUGCUGGAUCCCGCUGGGGUAUCGUCAUGUCUCGUAAUGCCGGGUUCAGUGAUCAGGUGAAGUUUCUUUGACUGUAUUUUUCCAGCUGUCUUGUAUGGUUUCCCGGUCAGUUUACUGUCUAUAAGCCAACACACUACGUUUUGAACAGGUUGUGGAGCUUGAUUUCCUGUAUCCAAGUGAAGGCAUUCACCGUAGAUGGGACGGUGGGUUCCGAAUAACGUCAACAGCAGCUACAUCCGAUCAAACAGCUCUAAUUUUCAGUNNNNNNNNNNNNNNNNNNNNNNNNNNNNNNNNNNNNNNNNNNNNNNNNNNNNNNNNNNNNNNNNNNNNNNNNNNNNNNNNNNNNNNNNNNNNNNNNNNNNNNNNNNNNNNNNNNNNNNNNNNNNNNNNNNNNNNNNNNNNNNNNNNNNNNNNNNNNNNNNNNNNNNNNNNNNNNAGCCUGCUGCUGAUGGGGGGUGGAGCAGAGAGCGGUUUUUAUCGUAGGGUGGGUUUGCUGUGUACCCUGUAAUUGAGCUAUUCAAAUGAAUGAAUGGAUGAAUGAAUAUGCACGAUCCGACGUUCUGCAUGUAAUGGUACCAAUAUUGCUUAGAUGAUCAGUUGAAUCUGGAGCAUUCUCCUUUCAACUGAAUUAUAAGUAAUGUUAACAGAGUUUAAGGGAUCUUAUCUUUGCUUUUACUAAUGUUCUUGACACUACGGUUUUCGUAAUCGUAUCUGAUAACCUUGUCACUAGUCUUGUCUAUAAGUAAGGUUGUUUCGUGGGAGCCCAAAUUCGCUAGCACUAACCACGAAUCCACUAGUUCCGAUGCCGGCAAAGAAAGCCAUGUCACCAAGAUCACGCAGUGCUUUCCAUCUCACUGUACAUGCUAAAUACAUUGUACAUGCGUGUCGUCCACUCUUUGUCGCCGACUCGACAAUACGUCAUCAUAAACCCGUACCUAGGAAAGUCAUCCACCUUAAUCCGCCCAAAUAUCGUGACAGCUAAUCGUGAACCUCUAGAGGUUGGAUGAAUCACACAACAUGUUUUUAUGAAGCCUUUUGGUAUUUUCCACGUUGGCAACGCAUCCUUGGCCAUGGAUGACGUGUCCAGUAACGGCCACUCACCGAAUUCCACGUCCACCAAUGCCACCUUUCCAGAAGCAACUCCAUAGACUUGUUUUCCCAUUAAGCUUGCUUCCAUUUCAUCUCUAGUAUGGAAAGCACGGCCGGUUCCUCCUCUCGAACGGCAUGAAACGACACCUAAGUCGCGGAUACAAUGAAAUGGAUCAACAUCGUCGACGAUGAUGCCACCUUCUUCAAGGUCUGCCCAGAGAGGCGUUGGACUAGAAAGACGUUGAAACUUGGGUACCAUCCAAGUACAGUUCAAUGGAAGCUCCGUUGAUGUGUGUCCAUUCUAAAAGGGGUGCAAUUCUGUAGUCGACAGCGAGUAGUAGAUGUUGCAGGGUUCCAUGGAAUCUCGGCAAGUGAAUGGUGUUCUCCAAUCCCUUAGCUUGAAGCUCCUUGCACGAUAAAACCACGGACGAAGUGGGACUCAGAAGAGCCACUUGAUCUCCGAUGCUAUCAAGACUCUGCCACAGUUGAAGGACAUGAUUAUAUUUGAAAACCCGCACGAAGUCUGCUUCUGGUCCGACCACUACCGAAAUCAGCUCUCCCUUACUCGAUUCCAUCAAGUAAGCUACGUUGCGAAUAUGGCUGUAGAAAGCUGCACGACACUGGACAUCGAUUACUUUCCACAUGUUCCUCUUAUUCUCCUCCCUAGGGUCGAAAACCCCCAACCUCCGUUCUCGGCCUAAGCAGUAGAAAGCCCCUUUGUGAAAUGCCGGAGCUGAGCUAGAACCAUACCACUUGAAGUUCACCAUGCAAGUAAGUCUAAACUCGCUGCGAUUCGUCUUGAUUUUGCCAGCGACUAGUCGGGGUGGAUAGAAUCACAACGUUGCCUUGUUCGGAUACCCCGUGAAAUAUUCACAUAUAUCAAAGCUAUAGUCUUUCCACGAGCUAUCUCCCCGUCUUGUGAAAGAGAUGUACAUACAGGAAUAAUCAUCACUUUCCGUCCUCGAUCGAAGUGGUUUGACAUCAACAACGCGGAUAACCACACAAUCCGGGGAGGUGGGCGGGGCCGUAAAGCUCAUUGCAUUAAACGGUAGAUUAGUCACGGUGGAUGAUUUCUGCGGUGGUGGGGUUGAGGAAGAAAAAUCACGGUGGCCUCUGGAUAAGAGUAACCAGCCAUGGUUGCAGCUGUGGAUUUGUGUGUCACGGAGAGCGUCGUGGUGGAGGAAAUAGGUUUUGUUGUAGGGCGGAGAGUAGAGCUCGCAGUUAUUAUCGGGGCGGUGGCGAAGCAAGAAUGGGUGUUUGGCGAUUUCGUAUAUCAGUGAAGGGGCAGAGUUCCACUGACGACAAACUGCUCGGAACAUCGGGACAUCCUUCUCGAUCAGUUGCGACAGAAUCAAUUGCAGCAGUUCAGGGGAAAGGUCUGCCCACGACGGGGAUUGCAUCAUCUUCCGAUUUGACCUUUUCAGCUUUUCUUUCUGCAGAAACUAAUUGAAGUUAGGCUCAAGCAGAGAGCAAGAAGAAGAAGAACAAGGGUGAUAACUUGGAAGACAAGAAAGAACUUACCGAGGUAGAGACAAAGAUCUUGCAAACAGUUGGAAAGACAAUUAUAUUCUUUCUCCUUUUUAGAUUAGAAUUUCAAUCCUUUCUCCUUUUUAGAUUAGAAUUUCAAUCCUUUCUCCUUUCGGAUUUGCAAUUAUAUUCUUUUCUUUUUUCUGUUUAGGGUUUUGUCGAUCAUAAUUUACUUGCACUAAUCGUGACUCACUCUUACGCACCAGGCCCAGCCAAACGACACCCACUUCAAAAUUUCUGUCGACUAAACCAAGACGGAAAUAUCAACUGCAGCAAGGCUAAACUAAAUUCAACAAGAGUUAAAAUCAUCAACUGUAAAUAAUAAUUACCCACUUCAACAUUCUGGAUAAAUCAUCAGUUCCAACCUUCUCCCUGUAUUGAUACUUUCCAAAGCUGCAUUUUUUGUUAACUUAAAUCAGUUCAGCACAUUGUUUCAUACUCUUUUGCUCAUCUGAAAGAACAAUUCAGUAAAGCUUUCAUCUUCCGAUUUUCCAUGGCAUCCAGCUCCUCGAAUCUUCCAUCGUAGACAAUUGCAGAAACAUGCAGCACAAAAAGGACCCUUCUGCUUCAACUCGGCUUUACAGCACCUUCUCGUCCAGCUUUCGUGCGACUCAAGCAAAAGAGGGAAAGAUCCUUUUCAGCAGUUCAAUAGUUGCUUUUCCUCCGAAAUCUCCAAGCUUGUAGUGUUUGUGACUUUCUUAUGCAUGUGAUAUUUCUUAUUGUUCUUUCCAUAUACGCCCAGAGACUUUGAGCUUCAGUUCCUGCCUAUCCCCACCAGAAAAGAAGAGUGCCAAGUUUCUCUGGAUUAUCAAUCCAUCCUGGCUAUCUCUUACUUUCUUAUGGCUAUCGCGGAUGCUCCUUGGUAUUCCUUGCCAUGUCAGCUUUCUCCCGUUUCCGCCAACUUCUAAGCUGUAACUGAAUUGUCUUGCCUCCUCUUCAGUGCCCAUGAAUCUCAGGAAGGCCAUGUAAACCGGUGCCAUUCCCAGACGAAAUGCCUCAAAGUGUAAGCAGAAUUGUCGGCCGAAGCAAUUGAAGACCUGAAACCGGAACAUACAGAGGUUUAGGGUUUGCAUCAAUCUGCCUAAAUACCCGUUAUAUAACCAAAUAACUCGUUUGCAGCUUCUAAAUUUGGAACAAUAUGAAAUUUGGUUUAUAACGGGAAUGGAAUAAACGAAACCAUGCAUACUGAAGGGUAAGAAUCUCACAGUUAACAUCCAAGUGGCAUUGUCGAUUUCUUGGGGAUUGGACUUCACAUAUCUGUGAUUGAAGGUGCACCCAUCGUGCAUGUCAACCUUAUGAUCAUUUUUCAGAUGCGUGCCAAGCUGGGGAAUGUCACCGGUGAAUGAACAUUCAGCUCCGGCAUAAGGGCAACUAUAGGGACGGUAUUUGCAGCUCUUUUCAUGCCUUUGCUUGCUAUAGUACGGGAAUAUUUCAAAACACCCAAAGUUCUGGUAUUUACAAGGAACUUCGAGCGAUUCAGCAACUUUCUCGAGAGCCAAGCACCUUAUGUUGCCAAGUUCCCCACGACACGUCGGGCAAGAGUUGUGUACUCGGGCUUUGCAGUUCGAGCAAAGGGUGUGACCAUUAGGACACUGAGACAUCAGACACAAAUCAGUCACUACCAGCACGAAAUAGUUCAGAUUGCUAGUAGGAAGGUCAUAGAUGUUAAAAAUAGUAACUUUUAAAUGUACUUCUUCAGGGUUGUACAUAAAAUGCAUACCUGGUAAAUGGGAGGGUAGAUUAGAUUCAUGCAAACUGGACAUUCUAGCAAGUCCUGCACAUUUCCAGUUGACGAUGCCCCGAGACUUCCACCUAAUAUAGUGGCAGCUUUUCGAAAAGAGGAAGCACUUGACUCUGCAUUAAAUGUUACUGUAUCGCAAUCUGUGUAUGUUAUUCGAGACUCUAUCUCUUCUCUGCAGGUGAUUCCUCCCGGGGCCAUCUAGACUCUACUCAGGUACUAAUUCCUUCUGCUAUAUGCUCAACUCAGGCUUAAAACGAUGAUUUUCUGCCUUCAGCAAACCAAUUUAUGCUGUUAAACAAAAAACCUAAAGUUAACACUCCGGCAAAUACUAAAGUUAGGCACCAAAACAUUUUGUCAAUGAGAGCAAUAUCUGCGAUAGGAUGUUCAAAUUUCUACAUUAGUAGUCGAAAUCGCAAUAGAUAUACUAAGAGAAGACAAGAAAUACAACCACCAAAUGUUCCAUAUCUCUAGAUAGCAACAUGAUCUAAAAUUUCAACUCUAAAUUAAUGGAGCAUUGGAGCUCCUAUAACCCUCAGGCUCAAUUCACAAGUGAAAGGUCUGUAAAGAAAGAGGCAAGGGAAGCCAUGGAUGAGUAGAUUAAGUAAAAAACAAAACACUGCUAGUGUCAAUGACCUAGAGAUACUUGGUUCAUGAAUGAGUAGAUCAAGUAAAGGAAAACUGUCAAACUUCACGGACAGAAAUCAAUCGGGUCAACCAAAGUUCCAAUCUUUAAAGAACAGAUUCUGGCAUUCAACAUUUCCAAAUGUCAAACCCAGCAAUUGAGCUAAUCGAAAAGAAACAGAAAGAGAAGUAAAGCAGAAACACUGACCAGGAAAGAGCAUCGAAAGAUCAACAGCCAGUUGACGGAAUCGAGUCCAUGGAACCGAUCAAAAACCUUUCAAAAACAGAAAAAAUGACGAGAUAAGAUAGAUUUGCCAGGUUGAAGAAGAACAGGAGGAAUAAAAAUGAGCAAAUGAAAUAAAUAAAAAACCGCACAUUGAAUGGGAUUGGAAUUGAAUGUUCAAUCAAUCUGUCAUCGAUCGUUUACUUCAGUCCAGCAAUAAUUGCAUCAUCAUCACCAGCAUCGGCAUCAUUAAUGGCGGUGACGUGGCGGAGGAAAGAGUCGAAAACUUGUGGGUUGCGUAUCCGAAAGAGAGAAAAGGCUUAAGCUUUCUUGAUUUUGAUUCGACCCUUUUGAUUUAUCAGCGACGAAGAAGAAGAAGAAGGGACGUUGAUGAAGAACCAAAAGGAGUGAAAUUAAAGUAAGUAAAUAAAAUGAAAAAGAAAAAGAAGAGACAAAAAACAAGACGAAUCCGUCAAUCCACGUUACGACAUUUGUAGCUCUAGCUCAACACAUCUCUCUACAGCUCUGCAUGCACUCAAUCAUCAAUGGAAAUUAUUGUAUAAUUUAAUGGUGGUUGCUUAGAGUUGUUAUUAAUUGAUUUUUUAAAUUUGUCUUUUGUUCCUGUGUUUAAACUGUAUGCAGGCGACAGACUGAAGAAUCUCUAUGCUGAAUGCCGGAUUGAAGACAGUAGUUUCAAGCACGGUUGAAAGUUGAAACACACUUGUUCUUUGUUUUGAUGUUUGGCCAAAUUCAUCCAAACUUUAGUUGUGUCAUUUUGUAUGCCGGAAAAUCAGAGAAACCUGUAAUUUCUAAGUUCUAACCUAUGCGGUGGCUGUAUUUUGAUGUCGAUGACGACUAAUCCUGCAGGUUUAGCGGGAUUUUCAAUGUAGUUUUGUACAUCUUUAUAACUCGUAUUGAUCUAUACUGGAUCGAUUGCUAUGUUGAGUAUCGAUUCGUCUUCUUCUAAUAGGGCUUGAUCGAGUGUUCAUGCAUGAACCGAACAUAUUCAAACAUGCUCUUUUUAAUUGGUGUCAUGCAGGCACUUUGAAUUCUAAGAGCUAACUCUGUUAUAUUGAUGUUGAUGUGGACAUCACGUUUGCUAUUUCUCCGAUUAGUUGGCUAGAUUUUAUUUGUUUGUUAGUUUCAAUAGAAUAUUGAGAUUAAUCUGUAACUUGUAUAUAACUUGUUAUAAUGAUUGGGAUCAUCACAACAUAUUAAUCGAUAUUUCCGACUUAACAACGGUUUCAAACACACUCAUUUUACAAAGGAAAACUUGAUUAAUAAAUCUCUAUGUUUUUGCAUUCUUAUUUUUUCGUUUGUAAUUACAAUUCAUUCUCUACACUUCCCAUUAAUUUCUCUACUUCUUCCGUAGUCCUCUCUUCAAAAAUGCUUGGUGAGGUAUCCAUCUUUUCAACAAUUAACAAAUUCAGGAUAGAUCGUAAAAUUGAAUUCAAUCGAAAAGAAAAUAUAGAUAAUCAUAACCAAAAAACAAAACAAAAACAAAAACUUAAAAAGUCUUUUACUAAAAUACCAAUUGUACACUAUGGAUCUGAUCAUUUUUGUAGUUAAACCGAAAUCUUAUAUAUGGUGAACACUUUGAUAUUUUGAAAAUUCUAUAGUUCAGAAUUAAUUCAAUUAAANNNNNNNNNNNNNNNNNNNNNNNNNNNNNNNNNNNNNNNNNNNNNNNNNNNNNNNNNNNNNNNNNNAAGUUCGUUCAAGUAUGUAUAAAAUAAACACGAUUUCAUAACUGUAGAUCUAAAAAUGAGAUAGACCAGAGACAAAGAAUGAAAAGACCAUAUCCGAUUCAUAAUGACACAUCAUCAUCAUCAUCUAGUAGAGUACUCAACUCAACCAACACAUGCAAUGCUCCAAGUCUUUGUCUAACAGUCGGUUUCAACAAAGAAGCUUCCUUUGAUCUUCCAUUAAAAAUAGAAAAGAAAAUUACACAGAAGAAGAAGCUUCCUUUGGGUACAUCUAGCUAGUCAAACAUGCAUGUAAUAUUAUUUCCCAAUUGCACACUAUGGAGUUGACCAGACAUGACCUAGCAUCCAACGUAGGUGAUUUUUAUUGUGUUUGAAUUAUAUCUCGAGUUCCUAUGUUUGUUAAGUUAUGUAAACACAUAUGACAUAUGUAAUGUUUAUUUCUUUUUUUAAUUUCGUAUUGGUCGAAAAAAUUAUAUUUAGGUCUAAACUUAAGUGCUUAAUGGUUGUCUAAAAUAAUGGUCACAUAAAUCUGAAUAAAUAACCCACCGGUCAUUGAACUUUAAAAGUUUAUCCCUUAAGUAACCGAGCUUUGGACUUGAGGCGUGAGAAGAGUCAUAGCUAUCCUGAGGUACUCAUUUCGGAUUCUGCCUAAGUUUUCUCUUCGAUGACGAAGAAUAUUGACUGUUGGGCGGGAUGUAACCAUAUUAUGAGGUUGUUGUCGAGGGAGCUGGUUAUUAGCUCAUGUUGAGUGUAGUUGGUUUCGGUCUAGUAGGUUCAAUGCUAUUAUCUCCAUUUCGACUGUCUAGUCACUUAAGUAAUUCGACGGAAAAUUGAACGUCCGUAAACAAAAAUGAUCAUAAGGUUAUACAUCCAAAAUUCAGUUAGGCGAAAGAUCAUUUAACAAAACUUAUGACGCGAUGAAUCAUUCAUCCGAAUUUUAGUGACCUCCAACGUAAACAACCUGUAUAUAUACAAUCAUCAAUCUUUCAGCUAAAAAUAAUAAUAAUAAUAAUUUUUCAUAUAAUCCCUAAUUAUAAAUUGCGUGUUGUAUCGUAACAAGUCAAAGAGAGUCGGCUUAAUUGACCAAACACGUGACUGGUAUUUGCGUAUACAAGUCAUGACUUCUUCCUUACAUCUAUCUAUAUAUAAAUAACACCCAAUUCAAACCAGUUACGUACACAGUACACAGCAUCUUCAUUCUCCCAUCAAAUCAUCAAUCUCUCUGUCUUUCUCCUCACUUCAGCGAUCGAGAUAAACAUGGAGCUUCUGGGUCAAACAAUGGCAGCAGAUGUGUUGACCAAAGUCGGCAUCUUUAUACUCGUGCAGGCCUUGGUGUACCUCGUCCUCACAACUUCCUCCACCGUCUUCUCCAAGAACAUCAAGCGAUCUUUCAGCUUCAAGCCGGCUCGCUCCGUCAGCAUCCGCCGCAUGUUCGCCGCCAUCUCCGAUGUCCCCGCCGUUUCUGGUGCGAGCGUGAUGAUCGGAAGGACGGCUUCUUCUGCUUACGUUCGGCAGUCUGAUCCCAUUUUUGGGGAUGUUGGGUAUUGAUUAUAGUUUCUAAUCAGUAUUGGAUUGGAGUUGGAACUUAUUAAUUCUUUGUAAAUUAUGUACGGAGAACUAAGUUUGUUGUAAUAUUACUUCUUUAACUUAUAGCACGAGCCCAAUUCAAAUUUGUUCGUUUUCACGAUCGGAUUAAACAUUUUAACAAUUCAUGUCUAUUUGAUUAUAUAUGAGCUCAUUACUAAAGACGUAUGUGGUUCAAUUGUUCUGUACAUGGAGUGAAGAUUAAGUUGGCGAUUUAAUUUGCUGACAAAGUUUGUAAUGACUAGCCAUCAUUGGUUUUUUGCCGACGAAUCAUGUGUUGUAAAAUUUCGAGUAAAUCAUAUAUCAAUANNNNNNNNNNNNNNNNNNNNNNNNNNNNNNNNNNNNNNNNNNNNNNNNNNNNNNNACAUAUUUUAUUAUUAUUUUAUAUGUAGAAAUUUUUUGAAUUGAUAUAAAAACUUGUUUUUUAAGGAUUUAUGUUUUUAGUUCCACUAAAAUCCUUUUAAGAAUUAGUUAAAAUCUAAUUAAUUGGAAUUAGUUCGAGUAUAUAAUGAAUUAAUUUUUUUUACUAAAGACCAAUAUUAUAAAGUGGGUAGUGUAUGAACAACUCUACCAUAAAUAUAAUGUUAUCACAAAUAAUUACGAAUUUAACAAAAAAAUAUAGCUACUAAACCAUUUCAAAUUCGUUUUUUAAUAUCAAAUUUGUUCUUCAAUUAUUAAUUUUAGCAACUUUUGACGAAAGAAAUUCAAAACAGCUAAAAUGUCCUAAGUAUAAGAAUUACACAUGAAAUAUAAAAACUUCCUUCUAUUUAUCGUGGAACUAAUAAUCAUAUUAAAAAAAAUAGAUUAUAAUAAACUCUUUUUUACUUUUCGUAUUUCCGUUACGGUUCUCUGUUUGCAUCUAAUGAUUUUCUGCCAGUUUUUGUGAUAAAGCACAUCAAUGUCUGUGAUCACACACUUGGUCGCAACCAGGAACCACUGUAGACGAAUGUCGUCCGACCAGGCCUAGUUUCCACCACGUGGCAUCGAACUUUCCCCGCCGAACCCAUUUUAAAAACUGUUCGCACCCGCCUGCCCAGAAUUCGGGUCGGGCUCAAACUCCGUGGACCAGACCGAAAAGCAAAAUGGUCCUAUCCAGCGCCACCUUGGUUGGUGGAGGAGUCGCAUUUUGCUACUACCCAUCAUCAUCAUCGUCGUCGUCAUCACGACCAUCUUAUUUUCUUAUCCAUCGAACUAAUAAUCAGCCAACCCUGAAACCCAAAAGCAGAUUACUCGAGGAAGCCAAAAUGACUUCUUCUUCUUCCUCCAAAACACUGAGGAAGCUGGAGGUACUUUCUCCGGUCCCGGCUGACAUCGAUAUUGCCAACUCUGUCGAGCCUUUCCACAUUUCCGAGAUUGCCAGCGCCCUCAAUCUCCGGCCUAGCGAUUACGAUCUUUACGGCAAAUACAAAGCCAAGGUGAUUUCAAU